CUCAGUCGACAGUCGAAUCGGGCAAACAAAAAACCCACAAUUUCUCUUCAGCCGGAGUCGCCGAGUCAGAGUGUCAGACCACCACACGAAUACCCAACACCCGUAGCUAGGUUUGCUUUCUUCUAAUUUCCCUUUCGUUUUUUUUUCUUUUCAAUUUCUUGAAUGGGUCUUUAUUUAAUAUGUAAUAUUCAUCAAAGGAAGGGUCAUUAAAUGUUUCCUUUGAGUACGAGACCCUCUUCGAUCUCCCAUUAUUUCUGCUUCUUCAGUUAUUCUGUAAGAUGGUGGCCGCCGCUGAGGGGAGUUUGAGAUUGAGAGUGGGAUCUGUUUUAGUUUUUGUUCUCAGAUAUUUAGUUAUUGUUUUUGUUCUGUAACAUGGGGUUACUACUGUUUAUUUUUACAACAUUGCUCAACUGGUAUUCUUCAUCAUUACUACUGUUUCUGAAGGAUGUAGAUAAUAUUGGUGGUUGCUAUUGUUGGAUGGUUGACGACAUUGAAGGUUAGCUAACAGGCUACCUUUGAAGUUCACCCAAUCCCAAUAGUUAGAAAUUGGUCAAACAGGGAAUUGAAGCUCCCCUAGUUUAGUAACGAUUCUGGAAAGUAGUUUGGACUAAGAUUUUCAGAUAUAAAGUGUUUUAGUAUUGUUCAGUUGUUCUUAAAAAAUGUUUUUGAAAAAUGAGAUGUUUGCAUUUAAAUACAAUUUAAAUUCAUUAAUAUUACGGUAUCUCAAUAAAAUAUAAAAAAAAUUAUUGUAACUUAUUAUUAUUUGAUAUGUGAAAUACAAAUUUUGAAAAGUCAAUAGGAAUAUAUAUAAUUUAUAUAUUUGAAAUAAAUUAUAAUAGAAAAAUAUUUUUAUAAAUGUUACAUAAAAUACAUUAAAUUAUAAAUAAUAGUUAAAAAUAUUUUAAUUCAAGACUUAUGUAAUGUUUUUAGUUAUGUAGUGAUUCAAAGACUUAUGUAAUAUUUUUAAUUAUGCAGUGAUUUAAAGAUUUAUGUAAUGCUUUUAAUUAUGUAGUGAUUUAAUUUGGAUAAUUCGGGUAAUUUGGGUAAUUUUCGGUUAAUUCGGGUAAAUCGGGUAAAUCGGAUAAUUUUUAACCAAAAAUGAACACCACAUAUUUUUCGGUUAAUUCGGUUAAUCGACCUUAUUAAUCGAAAAAAUUUUGGUUCGGUUAAUUAUUUUAAAAAAAUUCGGUUCGGUUUGGUUAACAGUUAAAAAAUUUGGGAGGUCGGUUAAUUCAGUUUUAACAAGUUCGGGUCGGUUAACCAGUCGGUUAACCGACUGAACACCCUUAGGUUUUUGGCACGUGGCGACGGUAGGUCGGGGAUGCAAGUUGGACCCAAAACUUAUCAGUGCGUUGGUUGAAAGGUGGAGACCCGAGACGCACACAUUCCAUCUUCCAUGUGGAGAGUGCACUAUCACUUUGGAAGAUGUCAAUCUGCGAUUGGGAUUGCCGGUGGACGGGUACCCAGUCACCAGGUCUGUUCAAUUUGGCGAUUGGGGAGUGGUGUGCUACGAGCUUUUGGGCGCUAUUCCAGAGAAAAUUAAUGGAGGUCGGAUCUAGAUGGGCUGGUUACGAGACACAUUUCUGGAUCCGGAUGAUGAUUCAACCGAAGUAGAAAGAAUCUGAUAUGCUCGGGCAUAUAUUCUUCAGAUAAUUGGAGGUUAUCUGAUGCUAGACUUGUCAUGGAACCUCGAACAUCUAAGAUGGCUACUGAAACUCGUUGAUUUUAGAGCUGCUGGUGAAUUGAGUUGAGGGUCUACUGUGUUGGCAACAUUAUAUCGGGAGAUGUGCGGGGCGACGCGACCGAGUAAAGUGAAAAUCGAAGGUUGCCUAUCACUACUGCAGUCAUAGGCACGGUUUCGCUUUCCAUUUUUACGUCCUUGAGUGGACCACCCAUAUACAUUCUCACUCAUAACGAGGUAAAUUUUAUAUUAGAUUUUACAAUUAUUACGUAGAUUUUUAAAAAUAAUAGUAUGCUAAAAUUUUAUUUAAUUAGGUGGAACCAUCCGGCAAGUUAUGUUCGAUUACCUACCACUCUUGAAGAUAUACGGCUUCUAUUGGAUCAACGGUCGGAAGCACAAGUAUUAAAUAAAAUAGAUAUUUCCAUAAUAAGAUAGUCGAUUGAUAUUUAGUAUUUAGUACAUAACUAAUAUUUCCAUCAUGGUCAUAUAGUUUGAAUGGACACCAUACGAGGAUUCGAUAAUUCGUGCAGUAAUUCUGGAUAAGUACUUCCAAAAUCGAAACGGUUGGCAUGUGAAAGUCUCAUUGGUCAACUGUAGAGAUGUACCAGUCGGACAGAGUAUUGUGGCAAUUUGGAUUCCAACAACCAAUUCCCAUGGCACCUGAGGUGUUGAAUGAUCAUCACAAAAUCAACCUACGACAAUUGCAUACGGAUUGGUCGAGAUUCUAGUCACACUACAUCCAAACGUGGGAAGAUCGGUAUGACUAUAUACCUACUUGGGAACCGAUCAUCGUUCCAAAGUUAGCGUGCGUGCCGAAAUACAUGCCAUGGUUUAGGAUCAAUGGGAAGUCGUAUUUACUCUCGCCAGAUGAGAAGCAGCGACAAUUGCGUGUCCAAAGGGAACGACGUGGCCCUUUAAAUCCAAGAAGAAGGGAUGACGACGUAGGCCCAUCAACGAGGCCCAAAAAUUCAUCCGGCCCAUCAUCAGCGCCCAUAACUUUAUCAGGCCCAGCAACAGCACCGACACAGUCACCCGACCCAGUAGUUCAUCCGACGAUACCCAAGGCACAGCCUUUUCAGAUGAUGACAAGUGCGUAUCCUAGCCCUUUUAUGUAUCUUAACCCUUUAUGUUUCCUUUUUCUAGUCCCAUGGUAGGUUGGAGUCAAUGGCCCGGUUCACCUCUAUUUUCGACUACGCCGAUUGGACCGCCGAUGUAUAGGCCAUCGUCGCAAGAGGGAUUGCAAGAGGGGCCGUCGGGGAGCUCUUCUUUUUACCAAACCCCAUCACCGUAUGGGUUUCAAGCACAUUCGCCAUUGGUGGUGCAAACACCUCCACAUUCACUAUUCUAUCAAGGUGGCUCAUCGUCCCAACACCGACAACCAGAUCUCCUACCGGAUGAACCAAAAUCCACGCCGGAGCAACCACAACCCCCGCCGGAAGCUGGACAAAAAAGGAAUCCAGCGCAUAAUCGUCGACGAUCGCCAUGUGGCACUAAAUCCAGCGGGCACGGAGAUUGAUUUUUAUUUUAAAAUAUUUGUACAAAAUAGUUUAUAUUAAUGUAAUAAAAGACAAAAUAGUUUAUUUUGAAUAUUUUGAUAUUAUUUGAUAUAAUAAAAUACAAAAUAGUUUAUUUUGAAUAUUUUGAUAUUAUUUAAUGUAAUAAAAUACAAAAUAGUUUAUUUUGAAUUUUUUGAUAUUAUUUCAUUUAAUAAAAUAUAAAAUAGUUUAUUUUGAAUAUUUUGAUAUUAUUUGAUGUAAUAAAAUACAAAAUAGUUUAUUUUGAAUUUUUUGAUAUUAUUUCAUUUAAUAAAAUAUAAAAUAGUUUAUUUUGAAUAUUUUGAUAUUAUUUCAUUUAAUAAAAUAAUGAAUAUUUUGAAUAUCUUAAUAAUAUAAAUUCUUUUAAAUAAGGCAAUAUGUUGAACACUUGGCAUAUUAUUUCAUUUAAUAAAAUACAAAAUAGUUUUGAAUAAAGUGAUUGUAAUUUACUUUAAUAUUUUUUAAUGAAAUAGAUUUAAAAUAAAAUAAGUAAAUAUUUCGAAUAUUUGUACUAAUUUUUAAUUUCAAAAAAAUAUAAAUAAUAAAAAGUUGUUUACAAUUACGUUCAACUAUUGCGAUUUGGGCAUGAUCGGCUUGUAUGGCCUGGAUUCUUACACCAUCCGCACAACUUCUGUUAACUGGCUGUUUCUCGGAUAUCCAUAUUGUUACGUAUUCUAGUUUAGUAAGGUCGAUCAUUUGGUUUGCGACGUAAUUCUCUAUCCGGUAAUAGCUUAAAAGAAGCAAGUGAUACAGGCGGCCACUUACGUUCAUCUGGGACCGAUGGGAAAACGUGUCUUCAGACGUUAUACAUGUUUUCUAAUUUGUACAUUUCGUCAACAUAGCUCAUCGGAUACAGACGAAGAUUCUGACAAGCUGCAAUUACAUGAGCGCAUGGAUAACGAAGUGCAUCAAACAUCCCACAGUCGCAAGUCCUAUUUCGUAAGUGUACACGAUAUUGCCCGCCAAUAACACCUUGGUGCGGUCUGUCAAACUCUGUCACACGAAACCAUAAGUUGUCUCGAUCGUGACACACUGUGUGCAUGGUGUUCGCCCGCGCCUUGGCCUUGUUAAUUUCUUACACUACCUUACUGCACCAUACAUGGCCUCCCUGUAUUUGGCCUGCAUAACUCGCUGCUCGUUUUAGAAAUAGCGCCUCCAAACGAAAAUAUGUCUCUCGCACAACCGAUGUUAUCGGUAGAUGGCGCGUUCCUUUUAGAAUAGAAUUUAUGCAUUCAGCCAGGUUUGAGGUCAUAUGACCAUAUCGUAGGCCGCCGUCGUAUGCUUGUGCCCACUGUUCAAAACGUAUGUUACAAAGGUAGUCUGUGCCUUCGCCGUUAAUUGAACGCAAAACUGCCAACAUCUCGUGAAAACGGUCUUUAUUUAUUUCAUACCUUGCCAAUAUAAGUUCAUAGCGAAUAUUACAUACCACCUUUUCAUUUACAAUAAAUUCAAAACGACAAACGAAAUAACACAGAUAGAGACUAAAUACCCAUGUUGGUCACUUGUCGUCUUUCGCUCUUAGAUGGAUAUUGCCUGUAGUAGUUGGAAGCAACGUGCCUUAGAUAAUAUCGAUGGUGUGUGCGCCACCAUAAGCUUCCCUGUCGAUCAAAUACAGCUAGUAUACCGGUGCCCUGGUCUAAAAUAACACAGAUAUCGACCGUUGUAGUACGCAUGUUCCGUUUCAAGGUUUGUGAUGCAACCUGGGACGUAUCUCUCUAGCACUUGACGCCACUGCCAUAUUUCAUUAUAUGAAGCGUCCCACCUACUAUGCAUCUUCUCCAACACCUUCUGCUUAGCUAUCCAAGCCUUGCAGUAAGAGGGCGUGUACCUUAUUUGGCUACGAAUAUUGGCAAUUAAGACCGGCACUGAAGUUCUGAUAUCUGAUUUCACCGUGGGUAGUAUCAAGCUAGCUAACAUAGCUGAAUCCAUCUUGGGAUGAUCUUGUGAAACACCUAUAAAUGGAGUACAUUAAAUAAUGCAACAUUACAAAUAAUAAUAUUAUUCAGAAACUGUCAAUAUUGUACCUGCAGCACAUGUAUGUGGACCUUUGUACUUUUUUUAUCUCCCACAACCCUAUCCUUUUCCUCAACGAAGCGUAUAUUUUCCAUAAACAUGUGCCGUCUUGCACAGCACACUUCGCCUCAAACUUAUCAGAUUUGGAUUUAACCACGUGGUAGUUAACGCCGUUAUUGAUGCUAUGUUGUUUCAAAGCACAAAUAAAACUAUCCUUGUUGAAAAACUGAUUACCAACUUUAAAUUCACUCGAAUCUAUCCCCGAACUUGUACGAUCAUGCAAUCGGUGUGGUAGAUCUAGAAACUCUAACGCAUCAUCUGUAGAUAGAUCGACAUUAUGCAUAUGGGUUGGAGGUGAGUAUACUCUGAAUCGUGAAUUUUCUUCUUCAUCUGAACUCCUUUCAGCAUCUUCAGGUUCUGUUGGAAUAGGCUUCGGUUCAGAAAAUAAGCCAACUUCUGCACCAUUGGGCCCAGGUUCUCGAGAUGGAUCCACAUUGGAGUCAUCUUCUAACCCACCAUUAUCUACAAUGUACGAGAUCCCCUCACCGGUGGACGUCGUAGGGAGUACAUCAUCCCUUUUUCUGGGCAUUUCAUAACGUCCCUAAUUGGAUGUAGAUUGUCAACCUCUAGAACUUGAUGUCGUUCCCUAGUACGUAUUUCCAGCAUCAAACAUCGAGCCACUGACGUACAUGUCCCAUCCACAGACAGAGUGUCUUACAGGGGAUGUGCAUUCCACACCGCUACCAAAUAUGGGCUGUUCUGUGUUUUGUAACCCGCUAACAGAGUGUCGGCCAAGGAUCGUGUAUACCUCUCGAACACCAACCGCAAGUACAUCAUUUGGCGAUGUAAAUUAUACAUAUAGCUCAAUAUAAUGUGCUCCACUAGCAAGAUGAGUUUGCACUAUUGCCUCCAAGCUACGAGCACCUUUUAUGUCGAACGAGUCAUAUGUCACCGGAUCAAUAGAAGAACAAAAUCGAUACGUAAUAGACAGAACUUUCAUUGGCGCCGUUCCAAAAAUUUUACGCCUAAUUCUUUUAUGAAGUUCUGUCAAAUCUAUGUUCUGAUUAAAAACCAAUCGCACUAUAUUUUCUGAUAAAAAAAUAACACCGUUCUCGGUGUGGCAAACCUCGCCAUCAUAUUAAAUAACAGCACUAAUACGUUCACUCAUCUUUAAUUUCUAACCUUCUUAGCCUCUCUAAAUUGUUUUUACUGUAACUUAUGCAAUCUGAGAACAUUUUUUGCCUCAUUUAUAGCCUCGGCCCAAACAUGCUACUGUAGUAAAAAUGCGUCCAUGUGGGAGCGAUUUCAGAAAUUCUUCUGAUAAAGCAUCCUGCUUGAAGCUUUUUUAUACUAUUUGCUCAGAAACGUCAACUCGAAAUUAUUUUUUCAGGACCUACUGUAGCAAAAGCGCGUCCACGUGGGAGCGAUUUCAGAAAUUCUUCUGAUAAAGCAUCCUGCUUGAAGUGUUUUUUAUACUAUUUGCUCAGAAACGUCAACUAGAAAUUAUUUUUUCAGGACCUACUGUAGCAAAAGCGCGUCCACGUGGGAGCGAUUUUAGAAAUUCUUCUGAUAAAACAUCCUACUUGAAGCGUUUUUUAUACUAUUUGCUCAGAAACAUCAACUCAAAAUUAUUUUUUCAGGACCUACUUUAGCAAAAACGCGCCCACGUGGGAGUGAUUUCCUUAAUAAAUUUUUAAUUUAAUUACUCACGUAACCCUAAACCCUAAUUUAAUUGAUUUUUUCUUAAAAACCCAUAAACACGAAACCUAAUCCAAUUUUAAAAAAAUUAUAAUUAAUUUAAUUAAGAAACCCUAAUCCCUAAUCCCUUAUUUAUUUAAUUUUUUCUCCAAAACUCUAAAAAUCCUAAAAAUCCUAAACCCUAACCCUAACCCUAACCCUAAAAACCCAAAACCUAACGUGGGGAGAAACGGGCAAAACGCGUCCCCAAGGGAGCGCUUAUGUGGCAACAAAACGCGCCCUUGAGGGAACUAUUUCCGUCCACGUAAGCAAAGCGCGCCCUCAGGGACGCGAUUUUCUGCCACGUCCCCUGACAUCGCACUGACGUGGACGCUCUUUCAGGGAAAAAGGCUAUUCCGGUAAAUAAUAAAAUACCGGGCUCAUUUCGAUAAAUUUAGAAAAAGGGCUUUUGAUGGUGUUUUGCCCGUAUUUUUUUAAUACUAUAAUUAUUAUUAAUAGUUUAGAAUUGUGUUAAAGGUUUAUUUUUUUUCUAUAAUAAUAUGUUAACUUUGAAACAAAAAUAGAAUUGUGUUAGUUAGAUAUUUGUAAUAGUACUAUAUAUUUUUUAUUUGUCAGUACUGUUAGUUUUGUAUUGGUUGUAAAAAGUGUACUAUAUAUUGUUUACUUGCUAGUACUGUUAAAAUCGUGUUAGUUUAGAUAUUUGUAAAUGUGUACUGUAUUUCACAUUUUUAUUAGUUGAUAUUAUUUUUAAGAUAAAAGUAAUUGUGUUAGUUUAGAUAUUUGUAAUAGUACUAUAUAUUGUGUUAAGUCGAAUAUUAAAGAAAAUUUUAAUUGCUUUUGCAGAUAUCGAUAUGAGUUCUUUAAUUACUGCAGAAGAUCACAUAGUUAGGACGAUUCAUUUACCGAUAAGAGAAUUUUCUAAUGUUGUACGUAUUUUUUGGCAUACUUACACGUAAUUUUCUAUUUAAUUGUGAGAUCUUAACCAAUUUUAUAAUAUGACUAAGGUCCGUAUCGCGUGUUGAGGCCGUGUGGCCAUGGUCAGAGCUACCGACCGGACGCACGGAUUAUGCCCUACUUAGGUGUCGUGGGAUUUGGAUCAGCGGCAUUAAUCUGUGUUUGAGUUGAGGGGUGACUUAAUAUCAACACUAUUUGAACGAUGGCGUCCAGAGAUGCACACCUUUCAUUUACUAUGUGGGGAAUGCACCAUCACAUUGGAGGAUGUCGCAACGCAAUUAGGGCUCUACGUGGACUAUGAUGCAGUAACCGGUUCAAGUGGCAUAGCAAAUCCUACGACUCUCUGCUAUGACUUUCUUGGAUGCUCUCCUAGUGAUGGUACCGAUAAAUUUACGAGUUUAAAAUUUUCGUGGCUAAAGGUAAAUUUUGAAACAUUAUCAAAUUAUGCAACCGAGAUGAAGCAGAUACAGGCUGCUCAAGCCUAUAUACUACAGCUUAUAGAUGAUACUUAUGUCGGAUUCUAAUAAUAAUAGAGUCCACUUAAUGUACUUGCUUUUACUUAGUAAUUUACAAGAUGUCCGUUCAUACAGUUGGGGUUCGGUAAUAUUCGCUACGCUAUAUUAUGAGCUUUGUCAGGUGAUAAAGCACAGAACAGUCGAUAUAAGUGGCUGCCUGAUACUUCUAUAAUCUUGGGCACUAUACAGAAUGUCAUUUUUGGCAUCAAUGGGUUACCAAGUACAUGUGUUCCCACUUGUGAAUAAGUAAAAAAAAAUGUAAACUUGGAUUAAGAUUUUUUUCAUGAAAAUAUUUUCUAAUGAGUUUGGUUUAUAUUUUUAGAUGGUAUACUUGUCUGAACAUUGGGAAGUCGGAAACACUCAUUGUAUACCAACAGAUGACCUAGACAUAAGCCGAUGAUGGGGUAAUUUAAUUUCAAAUCCUUAAAUUAUAUUAAUGUUAUGUAAUUAGUUUAUUUAUUAAAUUACGCUGUAAUUAUUAUUUUAAUCAUAUGUUUAAUUGUGCAUUCGUGUGGAUGUCGUAUACCACGUCGGAUGUUGCUUCCGUCAUUCAUCUAUCGGCUAAAGCACAUGCAAUCGUACGGUGUGUUAACACACCCAUUAUCAAUUUUCAAAUAGUGGAGUGGUAUGUCAAGGAUCGAGUGCUUCAUCAAUUCGAGUGUCGUCAACAUAUUCCGGAUGUUCCUAUACAAUUGGGAAAAGAUGUCCGUGGAAUUGACAAGAAGGGAAAACAUGCAAAGAAUUGAGCAUUAUAGCAUCAACCAUAUAUUGUGUUGUGAAAUACCAGGUUGGAGAAAAUGCCUUAUUUGGAAUAUGUUUUCCUGAUUUCACUCCCUCGAGGGACUACUAGUAGUGGUACUUGUAGAAUGGGUUGGCCUAUUAAUAUGGUGGUCGAAUGAUGUUAGUGCCUCCAUAUAUGGAAUGAAAAAAUUCCCUACAAAGCCUUCCUCAUCAGCAAUCUCCUCUACCACCCGAGCCCUAACUUGAUCCGACACCUUCGUUGUCAUACACACACUCGACUGGCAGUUCCUAUCACCCGAAGAUAGGGGGUUGUUCGCAGUCCGAGCCAACACCUUCAUUGUCAUACACACACUAGACCGAUAGUUCCUAUCACCCGGAGAUGGAGGGUUAUAGUUUUGCCCCAGAGUACUUGGGUUAUGCAAUAGACCCAAAGAAGGGCGGUUGCAGUUCUUAUCAGCAACCGAGGUCACCAACAAUGUUUGACAUGUUUAACCCAUCCCCACUCUAUUAUUACACCCGUCUUGAGCAAAUGUUUGUAACCAAUUAUUUUGUGAGUUUUCUUAGUACACCCUAGGGAUCGCCUAUGGGUGAUGACACUGUAGUUUCGAGUGAGAUGGACAUUGACCGUCAGGAGCACUUACAGCAUGAAAGAAGGUCACCACAACAAUACACCCCAUAGACAACCUUGUCAAACCAUAGAUUUUGAUGGUUUUAAUUCAAAUAAUUCGAUUUAUUGUAAUGUUUUGUUUAUUUAAAAUUUGACAUGUUUUAUUUCAAGCUAAAGUUUGUCUUCAUAUUAAUGAAAUGUUUAAAACAAUUUUAUGUAAAUAUACGUGUCCAUCAAGUUCAUUCAAAUAUUUUACAAGUUCAUAAAAAUAAUUAAAAUUGAUACAAGAAUGAAAAUUCAAUAAAAAAAUAGAUACACAAUGAAAAUAUAUGUAAAUAAUUGAAGUUGAUAUCAGAAUGAAAAUUUAAUACAUAAUUUACAUUCUAUUUGGCCGAGACAACUCUCCCGAGUGGUAGUUUCAAUAUGGGCAUUUGCUUCUAUUAUGACCCGCUGGUCUACACACGCUACAAUGUUUAGUGUCGACAUUUUUCAUUAUGUCCAUGUCAUUUCUUAUCCAAGUGACAUGCGAGCAACCUCUAGGCUUCCUACGGAGAUUACGGUUUAAGACCAACUCAAAAGUCGACGAGAGAACUUCCCACGUUGACACAUCCCACAUUCUUAGGAACUCAUCUCCCAAAAUAUGUAACGUGUGUUCCAGUGUGUAUACCUUAUCGAUAUAUUGUUUGAUAUUGAUAGAGGCAUCAGCGCAUGUUGCAAUGACGUACGCACACGGGUAAUGAAGUGUCUAGAAUUUCCCAUAGUUGCAUCCCCUGUUUAAGAGAUCAACUCCGUAUAACCUAGGUGGGAUACUCAGUCGACAACUAACGGUCUAUGUCACCCGAAACAUUUCAUAAUGUUGAGAAUAUAAUUAAACGUUCAUGGUCCUCGCUUUUCGACUGUUGACCGCCAUUGCCUUCCUAACCACCUCAACGUGCAUGAACUUCUAAUUCAUUUGAUUUUCUUAUCUGAUCCCCAUUCUCGACAUUAGUGUGGCCAUCUAGUAGAAAGUAGCUAUUAAUAUAGAUGCAAUUGGGAGAUGUCGUGUACGCCUCAAUACCGUAUUCACGGUCUCUGCUAGAUUGGUAGUCAUAUGACCAUAUCUUGAAUAGUUAUCGAAACUUUGAGCCCAUUGCCAGGGCUCUAUAUUCCCAAACUACUCUUGUAAUGUAGUAGUUGUUUGACCAUGCAUAUCAACUUCGAGGUCAGCCCAUCUUUGUUUGAAUUGAUGUGGCUCCACCUCGUACCUUGAACUAUUAUAACAUGUUAUGUGUCGGUUGGAAAACUCUAAACAUAUGGAAAAAAAAAUGAGACAGAUAAUUUACCCAUAUUCACAACUUGUCUUCGCCAAUCCACAUUUUUUAAUUCUUUGUAGAAGUUCACCGCAAUGUGCUUGAUGCAAUAGAUGGAUCUCCACAGAACACCCAAACACCUAAUUGCAGGAACUAUCCCCUUUGGUUUAUUGAAAAUUAUGCAAACAUUUUCUUGAGUGACAACAUAUCUUUUCAAGUUCUCCACGAAAAAUUCUCACGACUCCGAGUUCUUUCUUUCAAUAAUGGAAAAGGCUAUCGUUAGAAUGUUUCGGUUCCCGUCUUGUGCAACCGUAAUGAGGAGGAUCUGAGUAUAUUUCCUGUAUAGUCAUGUCUCAUAUACUUGCACAAGCGGCUUACAGUGGGGAUAAGGCAAUGUCUGUAACUCAACGAUAGUCCCUAGAAUGUACUCUUGCAUUGCGAAAAUCCACCAUUGGAGUUCGAUGUAAGAUGCAUUCCAAUUUCCAUACAACUGACCCAUGACCAUUUGUUUAGCCAACCAUGCCUUCAGGUAUGAAACUCAGUAAUGGAACCGUUCUUGCAUUUUGACAAUCAACAUCGAUACAGUAAUGGUGGGGUCAUCUUUAACCAUUGCCAAUAUGCAGUUGCAGAUGGUUUUUGAAUUAAGCUUGCAGUGGUCCUACGUCAUACGAGCAAAAGUGCAUGUUUGAGACCCAACAUAUUUUUGUUUCUCCCACUGUUGGGACCUCUAGAUAAAUGCAGCUCGUACCCAUCACUUACACCCUUCUGUUAACUUCCAACACUCACCAACAUAGAUCGUCGAUUUAGAGUCAGCCACCUUGUAGUCGACAGACACCUUCAAACUAUAACACUUGAUGUCACCGAUACACUAGUCUUUGUUCACGAAUCUUUGACCCACAAACAACUCUUUUGAUUUAAGAUGUUGUAACAUCAGGCGAGUAAGUAUGAUGUCCAUGUACUCAGGGAACUUAGAAGCAUGCGCCGCAUCAAGAUCGACGAUCGACAUAUGGGUCGUAUGACGAUUCCAUGACUUGGGUUUUCGACCAAAAGGGCGUGAUCAUUUCUAUCAUCCAGUCCUUCGUCGUCGAUAUCGUCUGAGGUAUCGUUUAAAUCGGGGUCACCAAAAUCUUCACCUUUGUAAUCAAAACAAUCAUUAUUAUUGGAUCCAUCUUCACAAAGCACAUUGGUUUCAAUAACAACUAGAUGUAUUUGUAAUCCACCAACGUAUUGAUAUGAACAUCUAACGUUAAGAUCGAUGUCAAAACCGUGCACAGACGACUUGGGAAACUCUGCACGCAGGUCUUCAACUCCAUAUUGUUGACUUAAUUGUGUUACAUUUUCAAUGGGCUUCGCAUAUGCUAACUUAGCAAAUAACUGAAUCGGUUCAGUGUCCAACCUCCCUAGUUGGCAAUACAAUGCGACCAUUGUCUUGACGUUGUUAUCGUCUAAAAAUUCCAUCUCGAUAAAUUUGAUAGGAUUCGUCAAAAUUAAAAAUUUAUAGAAUAGUUUCAUCAUCCUUCUUUCACAACGCUGGGAAAAUUUUCUACUGACCUUCUCUUUCAUAUCACCGACAGACACAUUCCUAUCUGAUCUCAUUCCGAUUUUUUGACGAGUUUCAAAAAUACAAUUAAUGGUUGUUUCUAAAAUAACACAAUUGAAAUGAAUUGCUACAAAAAAUUGAUUUUCCAUUUUUUUUUGAAAUUGCAAAAUUAGAACAAAAAAAACUUAAUAAAAUAACAAUAAAAAGUAAACAUACACAAUUAUAAUAAAAUAACUAACUAUUAAAAAAGAAAGAACAUUUGACUAUUCUUUAACUAUAGCAAACAAAAUAAAUUGUAAUAUAAAAAAAUUAAAAUGCCAAAACAAUUAGUAUUAAUAUUCUAAAAUACUAGUGAAGAAACUUAACUGUAAUUUCGAACGAGGGAGGGGAGGAGCUUCAAAACUUUUUUUCUCACUUCAACUCAAGAACUGAUGUGUGGGGGUUGGGGGGACCAAACCAACCCCUUUUAUAAUAAAAAAUAAUAAUAUAAUAAUAAAAGGUUUUUUUUUUAAAGCUGAAAAGGAAAAAAAAACACUGGUAUUUUAAUUUUUGGGUAUUGGAACGAGGGCCCAUGACCGACGGGUCACAUCCGCGGCAACCCGGUGCCACCAGCGGAUGUGACCCGUCUGACAGCCCGACGGCACUGGGUUGUCACAGAUGUGACCCGUCAGUUAUGGUUCGAGUUUCAAUACCCGAUAAAUUUUAUUAUAUCAGUGUGUUUUUUCAGCUUAAAAAAUAUUUUAUUAAAAAUAAUAAGGUGUCGCUUGACACAUCGACGACAACAAUAAAAAAUAUUUUUUUCGUUUUUAUGCGUAUACUGUUAAAAGAACUCUUAUUUUGGGUUUUAAAUACGGGUGUCAUUGGUUGGUCAGACUGCACCUAAAAAAUUUAAUUUUUUUAAACAGGGAAGCGGUGCCGUUGAUUGGUCAAGCGGCACCAGUUAUUUACUGUUGUAUUUGCCUACUUUAAUGAAUAUUAAUCCCCUUAUCCUAUUAUGAUAUUUAUUUUAUAUUAUUGAUGUAAAAAAUCGCAUUUAUAUGUAUUAAUUCAGCAAAAAGAAUAAUUUUAUAGAUUUGAGAAUAAUUUUAAAAAAUAUCAAGAUUUUUUUAAUAGGUCAUAUAUAUAUUUUAAAAAUUAAUAAAUAUAAAAUAAUUUGUAAAUAUAUCAUAAAAACUAGUUUUAAAAUUAGACUUUUAAAUAACCAAGCCACCAAGUGUUGAGCAACAAAACUUGACAUUUGUGGAGCAUUGACACUUUAAUUUUCAAAUGCAAUAUAUAUAUAUAUUUGAAAUAUGAAUGUAAUACUUUUUGAACUCUUUCUUUUAUACAUUUAAGUAAUUAAAUUAUGAGAAAAAAAUAAUUUAUUAAAUGUAUUAAGAAAUUCAUAUUUUUGUUAUUAACAGGUUUAUUAAUUAUUAGUAAUUUUGUUAGGAUAUAAUAUUACUUUUAUUUUUUUAAUAAAAUUGUUACUUAUAAUUUGAAAUUAGUUCAGAUACGCUCAAAGUCACUAAAUUAUUAUUAAGUUUAUGUUUUAAUCGCUCAACUUUAAAAUAUUAUAAAAUGAUCACUGAAUUAUUUAAAAGUUUUUAUUUAAGUCAUUAAGUUGUUAAGGCUUUUUCUUUAAAAAAAAAAGUCUGGCUAGCAAGUUUCGAGCGAUGAUGUGACAAUCGGUACGGUUGAUUAGUGCCAAUCGAUGAGUAGAAGAACAUGUCUUAAGUCCAAGUCAGUUUGUGUCAGAAAUCAGAGGAAAACUAUUUAGACUUUGAUUCAUAAAUUUAUGACGUUCAAAGUUGUUUUAUAAAAAAAUAAAUUGUAGUAAAGAAGGGAAAUGCGAGGUUUCGAUUGGUAUAGUCAAUACGAAUAGAAAAUGUCAUACAACAAUAAUUUUAAUUGCCCAUAAACUUUUGAAUAAUUUUAGUAACAAUUUUAUAACUUUUUUAAAAUUAAGUAACUAAAACAUAAAUUUACUGAUAGUUUAAUAACUUUGAAUAAUUAAAAUUGUAAAAUCAAAAUUCCGCCUGACCAAACUCAUAAAUCGAGAAUCUUUUGUUAAAGUCAAUCUUUCACAAAAAUCAUUAUUUAAUUACUCAACAAAUUAAGUAUUAAGUUAGGCAUUCAUAAAAGUGAAAAAGGGGAUAGACUAAAUCGAAGUUUAUUAAUUUAAUAAUGCCCAACUAAGUAUCUUCUUAAAUUUUAAACCCAUGUAGGAGAUAUUUUAAGGUUCGCAUUGCCCUGAGAGCACUUUCUCUUCCUAAAGAAAUGCAUUGGAAAGGAUGUUUCAGUACCCCACAAAAAAGAUAUGGAUAUCAUAGAAUCAUGUUCAUGGCUAAUGCAGAGGAGACUUGAUUUCGUUGGACAGAUGAACAAUCACAGAAUAAACAAGAAGAUGAUGCCAAGCCAUGGGAAAUUGAGAAUCCUCGUCACAAACUAGAAUGGUGAUGGGAAUUCGUUUCAUAUGGGCUAUCCAAAUCUUGGUAUUGGUGAAAUGGGCUUAGCCAAUCGAAGCUCUAAGAGGGCUUUAUGGUGAUCGCGAGGUAGGCGAAUCUAAACCUUGAAGUGCCGUUCAAAUUUUGGAAGGGUACGGUGAAAUAAGCCCGAAAAAUUAGAUUGAGUAAAAAAUCUAAGUCCCUAUAAAAUAUAUAUUAGUCGGGUUCAGGCUUAAAUAUUUAAGGUUUGAGUUUGAUCGAAUCUAAUUCGUUUUUUAAAAUUUAUGAUAUUUUAUAUUAUGUUAUUUUUAUGAGAAAGGGAUCCACUUAAACCAGUGUAAAACUUAUGCGAUUUUACACAAUUCCGUAAUCUUUUAUGCGAUUAUUAAUAGUUUAUCAAUCCAGCUGUUGAAAUUGUCAAUAUGUUUGUAUUGAUCAUGCAUCUAAAUUUUUGAAUCAAUCUGAUAUCGCUAUCAUAUCGAUCUAAAAUAUUGUUUAUAUUAAUAUAUAUUUAAUGGUAUAAUUUUUUUUUACAUAAAAUAAAUAGUUAGAAAAUUUUAAUUUACGUCAAACUUAACAUACAUGAUCUGCGUGAAUGGAGAAUGAAAUAUGACGGUUGGAUUGAUAAAAUAUUAAUUGUAUAAAAAGUUACAAAAGAGUGUAAAACCGUUUAUGUUUUAUAUCGGUAUAAGUGGAUCCCUCACCAAUUUUAUAUAUUAUUAAUUUAUAACAUAUAAAAAUUAAAUAUAUAUAGUAAUACAUAAUGCUAACACCUCAGAAAAUGUUAAGAUAAAUUAUUAAAAUUUACAUUUUAAAAAAAAUUAAAAAAUAAUAUAGGUGGAGCUAAAAUAAAUUUGAGUUAACUAUAUGUAAAUGCUAAUGGAUUUAAGUAAAAUUUUAAUUUUUAAACUCAUAUUUCAAAUCGGGUCAAAUUUAGAUAAAUAUAAAAUAUGUUAACAUGGUUGGGAGAAAUGAAAGAGGAGAAUGAUGGUUUGAAGCGAAAAGGAAGACUAAAUAGCUAACAAAGUCAUUAGUGGAGAAUGAAGAUAAAUAGGGUACGGGAGGAGGAUGGUAUGGGUGUUGAUAGGUUGAAUGGGCCACUUAUUUUGAUAAGUGUGAAUUAAAAUUAUUGUUGAUAAUGUGAAUGUUUUCAUAAAAGUUACUGUUUGAGGUGAUUAUAUAGCUUGAAAAUAUACACACUUCCUGCUAAUGAUUUGAGGUCCAAUCUUUUUAUUUUUUUACAAAAUUUCUCUCACUCUCUCUUCUUUGGCUUUUUAAAAGAAGAAGAAGAAAAAAAGAGUGAUUAUCGAAAUAAUAUAAAUUGUGCAUAGGAACCUUAAAUCAGUACAAUAAUUGACAGUUUGGGGUUGGCACAACUGUCAACAUAUCGAUUUGGGGUUUCUAUGGACACUUGACAAAUUGAUGGUCGUUUAGUAAGAGUUAAUCAUCGGGCAAUUCCGUAAUUAGUUUACGACUAAAGAAGAAGUGGUGGUUGAGGCAUCCUCAAUCACUAUAACCAACUUACUAGUGAGCAAGGAAACAUCCAUAGUCCGUUAUAUAAAGAAGAAGUGCACUAGUUGUGAGAAAUUCAAAAACUAUCAAAACAUUUCUUGUGGGAUCGUUAUAUUUUGUUUUUAGGUGUAGGAUUUAUUUUUGGUGGAUUCGAUACCCAUCAUCAAUAAUAAAAUUAAAUUUAUACAAAAUUAUAAAAUAAUUUUAAUUAAUAUAUACAACUAAACACAUGCAUUAUAGGUUAUGUUUAUAUAAAUAGGAAGACAAUGCAUUUCAACACACUCGAACCCACGUCCUCCUGGAUUAACAACAAUAUUCAUGCUAAUCAAGCUAAGACUCAAUCGACUUGUUGUAUAAUUAUUUUGUUUUAACUAAUUGACAAAAUAAAAAUAAAAAAUAAAUAAUAUACAACUUCACUAAAAUUGAUAGAGUAUCAUUAUAUUAAUAAUCUGACUUUGAUAUUGAUUUUUUAUAAAUAUUUAAACAGUUUAAAUAUUUCUUUUCUUCAAUUAAUUUAUAGAAAGCAUAUACAUACCUUUAAAUUAUCAAUUUAAAUGUAAAUAUAUAAGGAUGAAAAAGAAUUUAUUCAAAGUAAUUAUAUUCAAGCAAUUUACACUUAUAGUCAUUUUUAAUAUAUACAACUAACUUAGACAAAAUUGAAUAGAAAAAAAAUUAUACUUAUUAGAGGGAAAAUCUAUAACAGCUUCGAGUUUUCCUUAAUUUUAUAAUAUUUAUUUUAGACAGAUUAUAAAUUGUUAACGUGUUCAUAUAAUAUUAAAAGAAUUAAUUAAAAAUCACAAAUGUUACUCUUUAAUCAUGCUUGUGGAAUUAAAAUUUUUCAUUCACAUAUUUUUAAUAAUUUCUUUUAAAAAAUUGAUAAGAAAAUCAAUGGAUACAUGGGUUGGUCUCUAAGGUGUUGGACGCCCAAACGCUUGACUACUAUGAUGGAUUAGAAGACUUCACUUGGUUGCCACUUGUUGGUGGCUCAUUGGCCAAGAAAAAAAUGGAUGUCUUCGAUAUUGAUAAAAUUAUGUGUAUGUAUAACAUAAUGAUUUUUUAUAAUAGUUUAUUGCCUAAUUAAGUCUACCGUUUAUUUUCAGUGCGAUGCGUUUAGUUUUUCUUUUAUCUUAUGUUACAGUAUUGUUACGAUGUUUAAUCUCAUCGCCACCAUUAUUUUUAUAGUAAUCGCACCGACCAUCUAAAUAAGUCCUAAUAUAUACAUUAAUAAGUUUUUAAAAAUAAAAAGACAAGCAUAACAUAAACUGAAAAAUUAAAUGUUCAAAAUUAAAUAGUGAAUUUUUAGUAUUGAAUUUUAUUAUAAGUAAUCAAUUUAUAUUAGAAAAUUGUAGAAUUUAUGUAUGGAAUAUUUUGUUUGAUAAAAAGUAAAUAUUUAUUUUUAAAAAUGAUUUAAUUCUUAAUUCUGAUAUUAAUAAUAUAAUAUUUUAAAAAUUGUUGGAUAGAAGUUAAAUAUCUCAUUAUUUUAAUCUAUUUCAAAUAUAAUUUUUUGAAAAGAAAUUACAAUUAACAAUUUCAGCUAUUUACUUAAUAUGAUUAUUAAACAGAAUUUUAUUAAAAUAAUAUGUGAAAGAGAAGCAUUCACGUCAUGAUAACGAAUGCUGAAGUAGGCUUAAAUGAUGAAGUGAAAACUGAUUAAAUUUCAUGGAUUGCAAAGGGGAAAAAGUUAGGCUUCAAACAUGAACUAGCUUUUUGGGUUUCUUUAAUCAAAGAAUCCUAAUGAAUAAAAAUUGCCUGAUAAAUCCAAGCACAGUGCUUGCAGGAUUUCCCACUGCCCCCAUAUCUAAAUGGUUUAAUUGCUUUGGUUGUGAGAUCAGAUCAAGCACUGGCAUGAUGCAACUGAGAUUUAGUGGCCAACCCAAAGCUUAUCUCUUUUGCUUCACAAAUCAAUCUUACUCUCAUUCUGCAUGUAACAUCAUAUCAUCAUCUCAUCACACUCUCUGCUCAUUCCUUUCACACUGUCUCUUUUUGUCAUAACUGACAUGUUUGUUUCACCUAACUUGAUUAUCUUUUGUUAUGCCAAGUUUUGUUUGGAACAAAAGAAGAGCUUAAUGGUUAAAUCAUGCAGGAUUUGGUACUUAAAAGCAUAUGUUUGCAUCUUACUUUUUUUUGAGAUGGUGAAAGUUAUUGGUUGAUUAUCCAUACAAGAGUUAUUAUGAAGUAUGAACAGUGUAGGUCAUCAAUCUAUUUUCAUCAUAUGUUUUAUUCCAAUUAUUUUAGUCACUCAACAUCCCUGUCUCCAUUAUUGUGCAAAAUAUCUUAAACAGGAUAACAAAAUUGCUAUUCUUUGAUGAAUAUACAAUUUGUAUACCUUCACCCACCUGCAUAUUCUAACUUUUUGCCUUGUUGCUUUCGAAUAUACCAAAAUUUUUAAUCUAAUAUUGUAUAAUAAUAAUAAAUAACCUGGCAUCAUGUAAUAAAAAGAAAAUUAAAGGAUUCAAUUGGGUGCACCUUUUUUGGUCACUGAAAGCUCAAUUAAGUACACUUUUUCAUGGUUACUCCCAUUUUUUUUUUGUCAGUGAGAACUCAAUUAGGUGCACUUUUUCAUGUAAUAAAAAAAGUUAAAAGGUUUAACUAACAGUUUUUGUUAACCGAAGGGGCCAAUUGCUUCAUUAGAGGCAUCGUGUAAUAAAAAAUCAAUUGGGUGCACAUUUUUCAUAGAUGCUUAAUUAAUUUUUUUAAUUUUUUAAUGAGGGCCUUUUUGACCUUUUAGCUUAAAAAAUAUUAGAAAUGGGUAUCUAUUAAGGACAUUCAAAUCCAAUAUCUCCCACUCGUACAUAACUAGCACAAUACUCUCGUGCUUAAGCAUUAGGAGAUCAUUAUCACCUCUCUAUUUUCUCUUUUAAGUUUCAUACUAGAAGUAAGCCAUGAGAACAACACACUUUAUCCUUGAGAGUUGGCUAUUAUAUGAUCGCGCCUCGGCCGUCAACGCGCAAACACCUAGGAUGAGAAAUCAACACUAACACAAUCAAAUAAUAAAGCGGUCAUUUGUAAUAUUUCUAAUGUUUAAUGAAAUAUCGAAGUAUUCCAAUGAUUGAACCCAUAGAAGUUGACUCCUGAACUACGAACAUGCAAUUAAAGGAGUAUAGCUAACUACUCACUAAGCAAUUAUAUUAAGACAAGCCAUACAAAAUGUUAAUUACACUAAUUAAUUAUCUAGAAACGAACAAAGAAAAAAUUGUAAAUCAAGCAAAGUAUGAAACUAACAAAUACGAUAACAAAAAGUGGUUGGUUGAUUUCCAUGUGGUUGGUUAACCUUUGAAUUAGGGAUCUAAAUUGUUAUUACUCCUAAAUUGACUCAAUUUUACCUCCCAACCUCAAUUUUACUAAUUUAGACAAAUUAGUUACCCAACAUUUCCAUCAACCAACCACCUAUGAUUUUGUUACCCAAACUCAGAUUUAAACAAACAAAGACACAAUAACCACCCAUAAUAGACAUAAAUAAAAACACAGGAAAAAUGAGAAAAGCUUGGGCUUUUCUUGAGGGAGCUUGAAAACAAUAACAAUGGUAGCCAAAAAUAUGUAGAAGAACACUUAAAAAACAAUUUUUUGAAGCUGAAACUAAAAUGAAAUUGAGUUGCAUUAAAACUAGGAUUAAACUGAAAUACAAGAGCUUGAAGUAUUCAACAAGUAAAUAAACACUAGCUACAGUAAUAACUAACUUAAUUUUAAUUAACAGCUAUGGAAACUAAGUAAAACCAGAAAUAAACAUGAACUAAACCCUAAAGCUAAGGAGAACAAAACUAAAUCCUAAAAGAUGAAGAGAAAAAUUCUAAAACAUGAAAUGUGUUGUGUCCUAGUGUAUAUUUUGUUCAACCAAUUUUUGGCCUUUUUUAGUAGAUUAUAGACUUAGUGACCAAAUUACCCAUGAUCGUCUAAUUUUGGUUGCGGGACAUGUUGGACAAAGUCUACCUUUGCAAUAAUUUUUUGUUGAAACUUCUCAGUACUAUUUGCUAGCCUUUUCACUAUGACUUCCAAAGAUGACUUUGGGGGUGGUAAUUGUUGAUUCGGAGGUUGCCUUUGUUGGUAAGGUUGAUUGAAUCGAGGAUUUGGCCUGUAACUUAGAUUUUGGUGAUCUUUCUACCUCACGUUAUAUGUGUUCGAGUAGGGAUCAUAUCGCCUUUGGGGUGGUCUUGAAAAGUUUUUUUAUAGCAUUUACUUGUUCUAUCGAGUCUUCACGUAAAAUCGAACAUGAGUCUGUCGGGUGGUCUGAUAUAGCACAAAUUUCGCACAACUGUGUUGGGCUUGUUUUAUCUGUAAGAAAAUUUUGAACAACGUUAGUCAGCUUAUCAAUUUGAUCUUCUAGAGAUAAAGAACUUAACCCAUGAACCCAUCUUGUGGGUUCUGUAGUUGGUUGGAAUUGUUGAGAGUUCGCAGCCAUUAUCGAAAUAAACUCUUGUGCUUUCUAAAGAGUCAUAUUAACGAGCGCCCCUUCACUUGCAGCAUCUAUCAUUUUCAUUUCGAUCGGGAGCAACCCCUUAUAGAAAUACUACAAGAGUGACUAUUCAGUUAGUCCAUGUUGUGGGCAACUUGCACACAACUUUUUGUACCGCUCCCAGAAAUCGUAGAGUGAUUCAGUCUCCUUUUGACGGAUUCCUACAUUGCCCUUCCUUAGUUUGGCUGCUUGAGAUACUGGAAAGAACCUGUCAAGAAAUAAACGAGACAUGUCAGACCAUGUAUUGACAGAUCCCAGUGGUAAAUAAAAUAGUCAUUUUCUAGCAGAGUCGGCUAACGAGAAAGGAAAAGCACGAAGUUUAAUUUGAUCAUCGGUUACUCUUUGAGGCUUCAUGUUUGUGUAAACCAUAAGGAAUUCUUUGAGAUGAGUGUGCGGAUUUUCAUUUUGCAAUCCGCGGAAGGUGCAUAAUAGAUAAAUUAGGCCUGAUCUCAACUCAAACGGCGUUCUUCCCGUCGGAUAAGUUAUACAUAGGGGAUGUUGUUCAUCUAGGGCUGCGGCGAGUUGGCGUAUAGUUUGCUCUGCCAUCUCGUCUAGUUCAUCGAAUGAGAAAAUGUCAUCUGUGUAAGAUACAAUUUUGAACUCGGGAUGUAGUCGUUUACCGCGUUGAAUGACUUCUUUUCACAGUUUUUGAGCCAACUUCUCUAUUUCUGGUUCAAACUCUAGAGUUCCCAGUUCUGAUCUGGUCACAAGGAAAACAAACAGAAGUUAGAAGAAUAUUUUCAAUCCCCAGCAACAGCGCCAAAAUUUAAUGGACAACGAAAGCACCAAAAAUAAUUUUUACAAUUAAAAUAACUCUUAAAUAGUAGUAAAAAGUAGUAGGAUCGAGUCCACAUGGAUUGAAUAUUAUGAUCAACUUUCGUAUUUUUCUUGUGAAUAGAAUUUCGGUCAAGCCGAUAAUCGUGGCAAUAGUCGAGCUCAUAACUCUAAACAGACCUACUGAAAAAUAAAUUAAAUAAAUUAAGGGAGUUUUGAAUUGACUAGAAAAUAAAUGAAAUAGCAUAAAUAAAUAAUUAAAUGAAUUCAAAAUUAAAUUAAAUUGGGAAAUAAAUUCAUAUUUUGUAAACAGAGUUAUAAAGCCUUAGCCUUAGACUCGGUGGGUUCCGAUUUUUGAAUCGAUGCUCAAAAAUAAGUUUUCUCCUCCAAACAAUAAGCUGGUUAUAGCGGCUAAGAACGUCCUAACCACCAAUUCUUUCUCUCGUAGUUGAUCUUGGUACACCCUGCAAACCAACCUUUACCAAUUGUUUAAUCGCGAUACACAUGUUUGCAAUUCAAGACCUUGAAAGCCUUGUGUUCUGAAAAAUCCAACUCGGACCGCGCGGGACGUUUAAAUCCGAUCACUAUCUCCCUUAACUUGUUCGCGAAAAUCUGAAUACAGCACGACGACUCGUCUUCCCAACUGUAGGCCAAAACGACUCCAACCCAAUGAGCUUUUUAAAUUGAAAUCGAGUUAACUUUAAUUGAUGAAUUUGUCAAUCCUGAUAUCUCGGAGAGAUGGUGAAUACCGAUUUGAAGGAUUUUUAGUAUGGAUACAAUUUCUCACGAUUUUUUUAUUGGAAAAAAUACCAGCCUAAAGCUAAUUUGAAUUUAGUGAAGCAUGAAUUUAGUCAUGUUUUGGUUGGUUAUGGAGUGAAUUUGAAUGAAAUGGUGGAAGUUGAGAAGGGAAGGGGCUUGGAAAGCAACUAAACAAUUUUGCAAAGAAACAAGGAAAUGGAAAUGGAAUAGCAAUAUGCUACUGAAGCGUGAAAUUGGAAGGGAAAAAAUAAUUCUAUUCAAUUCCAAAUGAAUUCAAGCAUGAUUUUUCAAGUGUACCAUACCACCUAUUUAUACAUAAACCAUAUACUAAUAUUAGGCUAGUUCCACCUACCUACUAAUUACAUGAAAUAAUAUUAGAUUUUAUUUUCUAAAUUUGGCUUUUACAAGGUCAAAAAUCUGGCCAGUCCUUCAAAUGUCACACAUUUACGAUUCAGCUCAUCUUCUAUUUUCAUGCUUCAAUUUAAUCGCUUCUUUGCUUGUCUUUAAUUUAAAGCACUUGAAUUUCAUCUCUGUCAAUAUUUAAACACAAAAUUCACCAAUUAGCAGGAACUAAUUCAAGAACAAGUCGAGUUAAGCACGAAAAAUAUGUAAAAUGAACAAGCUAUCACCUGGUAAAGAAGAGAUAUUCAAUCAUUCACAUUCAUCAUUACGUAGUGUGAUUGAAUAAACUUUUGGUGUUUUGAAAAAAAAGGGCCAUUUUAAAGGAUAUGCGAAGUUAUAGUUUUGAAAAGCAAACGAUGAUCGUUGUUACUACAAUGGCGAUGCACAAUUUUAUCCGAAAACAUGUCGGUGGAAAUGAUGUAAAUUUUAUGGAAUACGAAAAUAUUAACAUAGCAUAUAAGAAUAUUAUUGAUCCAGAAGAUGUGCAUGAUGGAGAGAGUGAUGAUAGUGGUGGUGGUGGUGGUAAUGAAUCAAACAAUUCAAGUGGUUUUGAAAUAGAAUUAACAAGAGAUGUUAUAGCUUCUAAUUUGAUGAAUUCACUUUAAAUUAUAAAUGCUAAUGUAAUAUUUUUAAUAUUUAUAUACCAAAUAUAAAUAUUACUCCUUUUUGAAACAUUAAUUUGUUAGGUUUAUGUUUUCUAUGUUAUGUUAAUAUCUAAUAUGGAUUAUAUAUUCAAAUUACAUUUUAAAAUAAAAUAAUAAAAAUGUGUUAAAAUUAUUAAUUAAAAAUGAAAAAGUAUUUUUAAAAUAAUUCAACUAUGUUAAUAUCUAAUUACAAAUAUUUAAUUGUUAUGUUUAAAUAUUUAAAAUAUAGUUUAUAUAUUCUAAUUAAAUUUUAUAAAUAACUAAUAUUAAUUACUUAGAAAUAUUUAAAUUUAAUAUUUCAUAUAUUAAAAAAUAUUAACAAUAAGUUAUAAUAAAUCAUUUUUUAUAUUCUUGCUAAAACAUCAUAAUAUUGACUAAUUUGAACAUUAUUUAAAUGCGUAUUUGUUACUUUAUAAUACCAUGUCUAAAAUGAACAUUAUUUUUCAAAAGCACUUCUCAAAAGUACUUUUCCACAAUACUUUUUAAAAAUACUUUUUAAAAACAAUGCUAAACUAGCCCUAAGACAAAUGCACCUAUCAAUUAAUAUUAUAGCUAUGAUGAGCACAUAUAUCGUUCCCUCGAGGACUACAAUUACUAAUAAUUAUCACAUUUUUAUUAUUUAACCUAACAAUUUAAAGGGUCAAUUAAAAUUUAAAAUAAAUUAUCUAAAUUAACUAAUGAAUGCACCAAAGAACAAAGCACAAACACAGUCAAAUAACAACCAAGUGACAAAAUAAUACCUAAAUAAGAAUCCACCUAGAUUUCAUCUAUAAUUCUCAAUCUAAUUUAUACAACUUCUUUUCUUAGUUUUUUUUUAUCCGUAGAAAUCCCUAAUUUAUGCUAAUAUCUCUUUCGAGCAAAAGAGCAACUAACUCUAGGUUGAUUUUUCUUUAUAAUUAAAACACCUAUUAUUGCAUUAAUUCGCUCUAUGAAUCCCCCUAUUAGAUUUGACUAUAAUCUAGUAGAUUUAUGUUGUCCUAUUUCUAGGAUUGCAGGCAAUUCCAUUCAAUAAUGCAUGAUCUAAUAUCAAAAGGGUUUAUUCAACCUUAGACUUAAGCACAUUAAACAUGGAUCAACACUGUAGAAUUAUCAACCUAAGAACAAUUAAGUAUUCAUAAUUGAAAAUAAAGAAACUAAGGUUUUAUUGCAUAAAACUAGAAAUCAAACAAUAAAAUCUAUCCUAGGAUUUCUCCCCUAGGUAUUAAGAGAAUUAGUUCAUACUUGCAAAAGUAAACACCAAAAAUACAAUACAACCACCAAAAUAAAAGAAAACCAUGAUAACUCCCUUGAAAAUCAACUUGGACUCUUGAGUCCUGAUGGGAAAUUGCUUAGAAAUAGGCUUCAGUAGUAUUCGUUGGGUAAUUUUUGUGCUAUCUCUUGACGGCUGCUAAUUCCCUCAUUUAUGUCCUUAUUUAUGCCUUCUUAAAGUGCCAAAAAAGCCUAAAAAUUGCAACUUUCAGCUGUUAGUGCACAUGGGUCUCGAGAUCGACAUGCCCUAUACACACGGUUGUGUGGAUUGCUCGUGUGAAACUCUGCUGCAUGUGUACAACUUCUGGAAUACUCCAAUCCGGGGGUCGAAAUGAAAUUUUAAUUUUUAAUAGUUUAUAUCUUUAUAAUUUUUAAAAGAUUAAACCAAUUUUUUAUAAUUUUAGAGGGGCAAAAUAAAAUUUUACCUUUACUAAUUUAAAUUUUAAAAUUUUCUAAAGGGCAUAAAUAGCAAUUUUCCAUUUUAAGGGGGGCCGGGCCCCUAACAACCCCUCUAAAUUCGCCUAUGGCUCCAAUAUUCUAAUUUCCAUCUUUUUUCACUCUUGUUGUUCCCAAGUGCCCUAUUAAGCAUCAACACAUGAAUAUAAAGGAUUAAGAGUAUAUAAUUCAUAAUCAAUGUCACAUAAUCACCUAAAAAUACACUAAGAAUGAGGCUAAAUUUUGUUACUUUUGACACUUAUUAGUUUUUAGAAUCGGACUGAUGGUCGAACCAAUCAGGCUACUAGUAUGCUAGUUUGACUGGUGUGCCCAGUUCAAUUAGAUAAAACAUUAAAAAUAAAAAAUUAGUUCAAUCGUUUGAUUCUCAAGUCAACUGAUUUAAUGGCUUUCUUCGGAUAAAUACCCUUAUUAAUUUCAAUCUAAUUAUUUUGAUCCAUCCUGUCCUAAUCAAGUUUUCAAGGUCUUUUUUUUUAAUUUCUAUAAGUUUAUAUCAAAUUUAUUAUUUUAAUAUUUGUAUUUUUUAUGAUUUUUGUAUGCUUUUAAGAAUUUUAUGCAUUUUUAAAUAUGUUUUAUUAAUUUUAUAAAAAUUAUAUGAUUUAUUAGAUAUUUUAUAUUUUAUAAUAUUGAUAAGUUUGUAUUAUUUUUUAAAAGUUUAUAUAAAAUUUAAUAUUUAUAAUUUUCUAUUCUUUUAUAAAUUUUUUUAUGAUUUUUAAUCAUUCUUAUGGUAAAAUAUUAGAUUAAAAUAAAAAUUAUUAUAUGUUAGUCUAUCAAUUCAUUUUAACAAUUAACGUAAUCAAUGACGAAAAUUAUUAACGCAAUGGUUGAAUUAAUUUUUUUUUAAUAAAGAGUAUAAGAAUUUAAUAUAAGUGAUUUUUUUUUUUUGGCUUUCUAUGAAUAGAUUGUUGACAUAUAAUUGUUUUUUUUAAUACAGCUGAGGUUGAAUAAAAUUGAAAUUAGCGUUAAAAGUUUGGAUUUCAAAAAUAAAUGUGUGAAGCAUUUAAGUUGAAUUAAAUAUAAAAAAAAGUUGUUACUGCGGAAGCCUAUUUUGUAAGGUGGGUUUGGAUGAGCGAUUGGGUGUGGUGCGGUGUAUUUAGCUUACUUUUUAUCUUACGCUACAGUGUUGUUACAAUAUCUAAUCUUACUGCCACUGCUAUUUUUACACUAACUACAGAUAAACGCAUCGUCCAUCCAAAUUCACUCAUAAAUUAACUUCAAACGUAUUGAUGAAAUCAUGAUGACCCCAAAAAGCAAAGAAUUAUUGCCGUAUGUUGAUAACGCUUGGGAUGAUCGACCACCAAUAUCAAGAGAGACGUGCUGAGUUAUAACCCAUCCAUGAAGCUAAUCACCAUUUAACGCCUUCUUUAUCAUUACUUUAAGCUCAAUAAACGAGGAAAACUGAGGAGGAAACAUUUAAUGAUGAAUGCAGUGGAAACUAUUCAAAAUCAAAGCUGCUGCUCUCCAUUACUACAACACCCAGUUUCUCCUUUACUCUGGGUGGCACUCAAAUCAUGGUUUCCGACCCCUUCACUAUUUUUGAAUUUAAAAUUGAGGUAUAGUUAUUAUCCUCGUUAAAAUUAGUUUUAUUAAAUUUAUCGGUUAAUAUUUUAAAAUUAAAAAAGUUAUUGAAUAAAAAAAUAAUAUUGAAAAUAUUAAUGUACUAAUGACAUUAGUUAAUUAUUAUCGAAAAAAUUAUAUAUAAUCAUAUAACAUUCUAAUAAAAAAUUAAUAAUAUUAAUUAUUUAGACAGAUGGUAUUAGAGCAAAUUAUAUUAAAAAUUGGAAUAUUAAUAUUAAAUCUCAGAAUAAUCAAAAUUGUUAAAGUGAAGAGUGAGAGACGUGAAUGGAGACUUUUGGUUUAUAUAUAGAGUUAUUGGUUCUGAGUUGAAAAUCUCAUUGCAAUGAGACAUUGAGAUAUAAGCAGAAAUUUACGCCCAACCUCUGUGUAAUUUGUCUCACAAUUACAAUAAACCAUUAUCUGUUUUAUUUGUUUUUAUAUUUAUAAGAAGAGAGUGAGAGUAUCUAAUCAUUCCCAAAUGCCUUUAAAUUGCUCAACCCUUGGUUUCAGAGUCCCCCAUCUCCUGCCACAAACCAACUACAUAGCUUCCACUACCUACGUAGGAAGCUGCUUCCCUGCGCAUAGGACAAUAACCCACCCACACAACUUCCACAUUGUUUCUCAGUUGAAGUCUAACCAAAACUUCUCUUCUUCUUCUUCUUCUUCUUCUUCUUCCUCAGUAAUGGAAGAGCAGAGAGAGCUUGUUGUUUCACCAGCUCAAGCACAAGAAGCAUAUGCCAAGGAAUUGGAUGUCGCUAUCAGGGCGGUUCAAAUGGCCUCUUCUCUCUCUCUCAAUCUUCAACAGACUUCACUUCAUUCCGAACAUGACAACUCUCUUCUCACUCUGCCAGGUACAUCAAUCACCUUUUCUUUCCUUUUAACUCUGCAUCUUGGGUGGUUAAAUGUAACCCAGAACGUGGAUACUUCCAGUACAAGGAACAAAGAACUAAAAUACCAUUCACUAUUUCUAUAACAUGUAAUUUUCGAUCUAUUUAGCAAGAAUGAAAUACGAUUUAUUGGACAUAAAAUUUUGGGGACUUUGCGCUUAUAGUUUGUGUUUAUGCGAAGCCAAUAUAAAUUUCGAAAUUUACUUUAUACUUUUAUAUUAUAUUAUAUGUUAAUACAAUCAGAUUUACCAAUUCGAAGUUAAUGAUUUUUAGUACAAGUUGAAAUUGAUAUAUGAGGAUAAUUGUUGCUUUAACAAUGUUUUGUUGACAAAUAAGGAGUCAUGAAAAGGAUUUGAUGCCUACAGUUAAAAUGCUGAACACAUCUCUCAUUUAAUUGGGCUUUAAAAUUUUGAGUGGGAGGAACUAUUCCUGGUCACCCAUUACGUGAGGAGUAAUGCUUGAGAAUGGAGCGAUCAGUAGGUCCAUUAACAUACCCUAACUUCAAUCCUAUAACAAAUUGGACAUUCAAUGAAGUACUAUGUUGCUCGUAUUUGGAUGGAUACAUGUCUGACAUGAGUUUAUUGAACUUUUUUUCCAACUACUUUUUCAUCUACUUGAAGAUCCUUGGAAAGUCAUAUCCCCACACUUUUAUUUCCGUUGCUUAUACUUGCAAAAUCCAUCUUAGAUUAACCAGAGAUUCCUACUUUCUAGAUUGGAGCGUCCAUGCAGCGGUAAGCUGGAUACUUUCUGAAUCCUUCGGCUGCCAAAAUGUGUCUAUUCUUGGCAACAAAGAUGUUCAAAGCCUCUCUAAAGCUGAUGCAGCUGGCCUGUUAGAUGCUGUGGUGAAAACAGUCAAUGGUUGUCUAGCUGAGGCACCUCAUUUUGGGCUUAAGGGUCCCGAAACGCCACUCGGGAGUUUGGAUGUACUCGAAGCUAUUAGUCGCUGCAAUUCAUCCGGAGGUCCUACUGGAAGAUUUUGGGCACUUGGCCACCUUGAUGGUACAUUCGGGUUUGUACGUGAUGAUCAAUAUGCUGUUGCUUUAGCAUUGAUAGAGGAUGGGGAAGUUGUUCUUGGUGUUCUUGGUUGCCCAAAUUAUCCAAUGAAGAAGGAAUGGCUAACGUAUCAUCACCGCUAUCACCGGAUCCUAUCUAAACUCACCCCACCAACAUCCAAAUCGUGGGAUAAAGGUUGUGUAAUUCAUGCAAGGAAAGGCAGUGGUGAGGCUUGGAUACAACCUAUACACCAGGAGAAUAAGCUAGUACCAUGGGCGAACUCUGCAAUACGGGUUCAAGUAUCCUCGAUCGAUAAUCCGGCGUUGGCUACAUUUUGUGAACCAAUUGACAAGUUAAAUUCAACCCAUUCCUUCACAGCAGGAUUAGCUCACAGUGUUGGCCUUAGGUGCAUACAUAUUUUUUCAUGUUUGAUCUCAUUAGCAUAUACAAACUUCAUAUGCAUAAUAAAAACUACUAUCAUCCAUAUUGCCAAUGCAGGAAGCAACCGCUGCGUGUGUACAGCAUGGUGAAAUAUGCGGCCAUAGCUCGAGGGGAUGCCGAAAUAUUUAUGAAGUUCGCAAGGACAGGGAGCAAGGAGAAGAUAUGGGAUCAUGCAGCUGGUGUUAUUAUCAUACAAGAAGCUGGUGGUGUUGUAACAGAUGCAGGGGGAUCUCCGCUAGACUUUUCGAAAGGUAAGUUCUUAGAAGGUGUGGAUCGAGGUAUAAUCGCUUGUGCCGGAGCUAAACUACAUGAAGAAAUCAUCACUGGCAUUGAUGCUAGCUGGAACUCCUCCAAUCUAUGACCAAUUUUACAUUGCAUAUAAAUGUUAAGUUAUGAAAUGGUUUGUGUAUAUAAAUGUUAAGUUAUGAGAUUGCAUCACCCAAUAAGUUUGGUUUUUAUCUUAAGUUGUAAUGAUAACUCUGUACAGAAAGGGCUGUUCAUAUGGUGGCUUUUAGUAAGUGCCAUUGUAAGUUGGAGAUUCAAGUCUUCAUAUUUUGUAUUAUAAAAAAGUAAAGGUUGUUUUCCAAUGUUCUUCUAUCAUUUUGCUUAUAAAUAAAAAGAAAAAUGGAUUAAAAUUUAAAAGAUAGAGAUUAAUAGCAGAAGAAUGUAAUUAAAAAAUAUGAAUGGGGGUCGUUUUCAACAAAAUAAAAUGGGUGAUUUUGAGCCACAAACUAAAGGACUUUACAAGGAUAAGUGUAACAUGAAUGCGCUCUUGCUAAAAUAACCACUCAUUUAUCAUUUAUGAGACGGCAUAUGCUACUGAGCUCAUGUUUAUACUAAGGAAAACAAAUGUUCGAGGGAACCGAAAGUUUGAAAAAGACAUUGGCAUGCAUCUCCCCACCUAAUCUUGAUUCAAUAUGUGUCCAGCAAACACACAAACAUUUGUGACUAUUUUUUUUCCAACAAAUUUAAUUAGCCCCCACCAGGUAUCUUCGAUUGCAAUGGGCUAACCCCGUUCAUUUUAUAUUUUAAAAUAUAUAUAAUCGAUUAGGAAAAUUAGUGAUAAUUAUAAUAAUAUAGAGUUAUUUUUAUUAAAUAACUAAAUAAACUUGGCUUUGACUUUAUCCUUACUGGUAGGUGGUCUGACUAGUUCUCCAUAUAAACAAACACACAGAUUACUAAGCAAACAAAAUUUACGGAAUUCACACAUGCAAGCAAACCUAACUUUCUGGACUAUCAACCCUAACAAGACAGAGGCUUACCUUGGGUGCUACGAACUUGGUUCAAAACAGAGACUUGACGAUAGAAUAUUCGAUGAGAGAAUUCUCAUGAAAUAAGGGUCGUAUUUAUAGACCUAAGUGUCCCGGAAGUCUUAGGAUACCCUACUUGACUUAGGAAAGGUGUCACUUGUACGAAAAGUAUUCCUAGAUAUAUCAUAUCUUUAUUUCCUAAUUUGAGUCUGUCUUUGACUUUGAUUGGCGAACACCAGUUUGCAAGUCAACUACGAACCCCCAGUUCGCCAAACAAACUGGCAAACCCCCAGUUCGCAACUUAACUGGCGAACCCACCUGUAAUGAAUUUGGCAAACCCCUUACCACAUCUUUUGGCGUAUAUAGCAAUGCUGAAAUAGGGGUGAACUCCCCAAUUCGCCGAAGUACUGGCAAACCUCUAGUUCGCCGAAACACUGGCGAACCCUCACUUGCGAGGACAAAAUUUCCAGACCCAGUCUCAGGAUGUUAGAGUCCAAUUUGCCUUCUUUGCACAUACUAUCUAUGGCUAUAUACAAUCAGACGAUACCACCCUUUGUCUCGACAAAAUGAGUUCCUUGAGGAUACCACUAGAACCAAAGUGCAUUCUAUCAUAAAACAAAAUAAUGCACAAAUAUACAAUAAGAUUCACUUGUAUGUCAAAAUCCUUUAUGAGUUUUCCCCCAUUUGAAGAAUUCCGGUGCUAAUUGAGUAACUUGUUUUAAACUAACCAAAAUCUUCGAUUGGUGUCAAGCUUGUAUGAAACAAAGUAACAAUCCUCUUAUCAUUCCAUUGGUCUUGUCGAAUGAUUUUACAAAUAGAUUCCCUACUGAAAUCAUCUAACAAAACAUUGUUAUUACUAUUAGAUUUGGUCUCAAAUGGAACCUUAUCAUGUAGAGUGUAAAAAAAAGGAGAACAAAAAUAAAAGUGCAAGCAAUAAGAAAGUUACAGGAUGAUGGAAGUGAGGGAACUAGGAAUUUGAAAGAAAAGAAUAAAAUGGUAGGGUUUUUUAAAAAGAAAAAUAUGGUAGUAUAUAAAAAAAAGGAGCAAAUAGUUGGAAUUGCAACAAAAUAAUUUUCAUCUCCAAAAUUAGUAGCAGAGAGGGGGAGGGAAGAGGGAUGGGGGUUGGGAUUUUCAAAUUAGGAUCAAAGUGAGAACAUUUAUAAAUUUUGAGGGUUAAUUUUUUAAAAUUAUGAUUAAAUGUAUAUAAUAUGUAAAAUUUGAGGGCUAAAUUUGUUAUUAUACCAAUUUUUAACUGCCACGUCAGUUUAUCGUUUCUAAUUUUAACGGGAGUGACCGAAAUGACUGAACUAUGUAAUGUGAGUGCUUAAAUUGCAAACUUUUUUAUUUUUGAUGCCUAAAAUGAUUUUUUUCAUAGUUGGAUGACUAUUUAUGUAGUUUAGCCAUAAAAUACUAAAUACAUCAUAAUAUAAAUAAUAAUAAAUAUAUAUUAAAUUAUGUAUGGUUAAAAAUUUAAAAUUAUUCUUUUUAAAUGUGUGGGUAUAAACACGAUUGGAUUAUUGAUUUAUAAAUACAAGAAAAUUUCGAUAAAAUUUGGAAUUUAUAUUUAAAAUAAAAUUAAACUUAAAGUAAAUAUAUGUACACUUUCUACCAUAUAUAAACCUGAUCGAAGUAGGUGGCAUGAACCACUUUUAAGUUUGGUUUGAUAAAUUUUUAACAUUAAUUUUUAGGUUAUUAUUAUAUUUGUUCUUUUUGAUAUAAUGUUUAGAAUUAUUUAUACCUCUUUUCAACCUUUAAAUAGGAGGAUAAUGUGCUUCAGCUCUAGCAAUAAUGCCAAUACCAAUCGAGCUAAGACUCAAUCGACGCGUUGAAUAUUAUAAUUGGUGGGAUACUUAGGAGCAAAAACAACAGCUAUUAUAAUAAAGUGGGUGGAGAAAAAGAGUGAGAUGGUGGGCGUAUGUAUAAAAAUGUCAAAUAUAGGAUCCAUGUGCGGUCCCUCCCUAUUUUGAGCUGCCGAUGGUAUUCAAUGAUUUCUACAAAACUUGGUGAAUUAGUGUGCCUUAAAAAAAGCAUUAACAAAUCAGGUUUCAAUGAGCUGCCAUUCACCAUCUUCCAAGACAAAAUGCACCAAAAAAAACCAUGGACCGAUUUUCAUAAACAUCUAAAUCCAUGGGUGAAAAUGGAAAAGAUGCAAUGCCAAGUAACCUAAUUAUGGCAUUUAGUCACCCACAAAAUUAUAUUAAUAAUACAUCAUUUUAUGUAUUGAUUAGGGUUUAAAAAAUAUGGGCACCAUAUAACUUUCCUAAAAAUAUUAUAUGAAAAUUAAAUGAACUCUCAACUUGAUUUGGACUAAAUCAGAAAUUUUCCGUGAUGCUGGACCUAGUUGAUUCUAAAGUUUUUAGAUCUAAUCCUAUAAUGGCACCACGUGGUCUAGAGUUUUCCUAAAUUAGGAACAAUGGGUUCCUCAAAAUUACAUCUAAGUUUGUUAGUUACAUGUUUGUAUAUUAAAUUAAAUAAUGGGAAACUCGAUUAUGUUCAUGAUGGAAUAUAUCCAUUUAACUUUAAUUAACGGAAUUGACACUACACCAAAAGAGGGCUUUAGCGGUAUUUAUUGUGGCGUUUUUAGAUUAAACGCCGCUAGAAAUCAGGCAUUCGCGGUGCUAACACUAAAACGCCGGUAAAGAUUAAGCAAUAGUGGCGUUUCUGGGAAAACUCCGUAAAUAGUCAGAUACAUAGUGGCAUUUUAUAUAACAACACCGCAAAAGAGCAUCAUUAGUGGCGUUUUUAAACAAAACGUAGUAAUAAAUCUGACAAAACGCAUCGUUUAAUAUUCAGGAAUAGUGGCAGUAGCGGCGCAUUAUAGAAACGCCAUUAUAGAGCACAAUUAGCGGCGUUUGUUUGUAAGCGCCGCAAAAAAUGUUAAACAAAACGCAGCGUACAAUAUUGAGGUAUAGUAGAAUUAGUGGCGCUUCUGUAAAAACGUCGCUGUAGUACAUCAUUAGCGGCGCUAGUGAAAAAGCGCCGCAAAAUAUGUGGACCAAAACGCAGCUUUUGGUAUUGAGGCAUAGAGCCAAUAGUGGCGCUUUAGGAAAACGCCGGAAAUGUGAAACCGAAACGCAGCGUUUCGUCUUGAGCUAUAGCGCCCAAAUUUUAAACGACGUCGCCUUGAUGAUGUUUACCGGUCUUAGCGGCGGUUUUACAUAAACGCCGCAAAUAUUUCUGUAAUACGACGUCGUUUACUUUUAUUAUUUGGUUGGAAGUUAGACAAAACGACAUCGUUUUUAUACUGUUUAUUGGUAUCAGCGGCGUUUUUACAAAAAAACGCCGCAAAUGAAAUAAAUUAUAUUUUAGGGUUUUGGGAUUAAUAUUUAAGUUUUGUCGUGUAUGGUUUGGGGUUUUAGGGUUCAUUACAUAAUGUUCAUUAUUUUAGGUUUACAGUAUUAAGUUCAGGGUUUUGAGUUUAGGUUUAUGGCUUGGGGAUUGGGGUUUAAGGUUUAGAGUUUUAGUUUACAUGUUAGUGUUAAUGUGAGGUCAGUGUUUACGGCUUAUAAGAUAAUGAUCAAAUUUACUGUUUUAAGGCUUGAUGUUUAUGGUUUAUGGUUUAGCGUUAAUGAUUUGAAUGUUACAAUGCAUGGUUUUUGCGUUUCGGAUUCGCAUGAAGAAUACGAGUUAGGAUUUAUAAUUUAAUUUUAAAAUUUACGGGUUAUAGGGAUUAAUAGCUUUGGGUUUUAGGGUUUAAUUACUCAUCUAAAACAAAAAGCCAAAAAAAAUGUAAAUUCUGUGUUUUUUACUUCUUAUUAUAUAUGUCAUUAGUAGGAUUAUAAUUAAAUAUAAUUAGGGUUAUAGAAAAAGAUAUAUAUGCAACGAUAUAUAUAUGUUAUAUAUUAUGAAACAUAUAUAUUAAUAUUGUGUUAGUUACAUAACAAUCAUAUUAAUGUGUCAAUUUAUAAUAAUGUCAUAACAAUUUUCAAAAUAAAAAAUCUAUUAAAAAUCAUUAAACUUAUAAAUAAAGAGAAAUAAAACAUUUUUAAAAAUUGAAUAAUUAGCGGCGUUUGUUUGUAACACGCCGCAAAAAAUGUUAAACAAAACGUAGCGUACAAUAUUGAGGUAUAGUAGAAUUGGUGGCGCUUCUACAAAAACGCCGCUGAAGCACAUCAUUAGCGGCGCUAAUGAUAGAGCCACUACACCAAAACAGGUCUUUAGCGGCGUUUUUGAAGCCUUUAGCGGCGCUUUUUAACGCCACUAGAAGCGCCGCAAAAAAGGCCGCUAACGAAAACGUCGCAAACGUUUGCAGCGUUUACAAAAAAAACGCCGCUAAAGAACAUGUUCUUUAGCGGCGCUUAGAAAAAAGCGCCUCUAAAUACCAUGUUCUUUAGCGGCGCUUAGAAAAAAACGCCGCUAAAGAACAUGUUCUUUAACAGCGCUUAGAAAAAAACGCCUCUAAAGACCAUGUUCUUUAGCGGCGCUUAGAAAAAAAAAGGCCGCUAAAGACCAUGUUCUUUAGCGGCGCUUAGAAAAAAAACGCCGCUAAAGACCAUAUUCUUUAGUGGCGCUUAGAAAAAAACGCCGCUAAAGACCAUGUUCUUUAGCGGCGCUUAGAAAAAAACGCCGCUAAAGAUCAUGUUUUUUAGCGGCGUUUUUAUACAAAAACGCCACUAUUUUUGGGAUUUUUUAUAUUAAAAUUUUCAUUUUUUCAGCCUCCUGUAGCAACAAAUCAAAAGGAACCAGAUUUAAACCAGCCAAAAGUAAUAAAUUUAUAUAAUAUUUCAAAUUAAACGAAUAAAAAAAUAUUAAUAUCAAUAAAUAAAAGUGAAUUCAUAGUAUUUUUGCAAAAAUGUUAAAUGUUAAAAUGAUAAAAAUAUUUAUGUCAUACACUAUGAAGGCGGAAGUUGCGACUGAAACAUCUUCAUCACAGCCUGAAGCUGUUGCUGGAGAUCGUCGUACUUUUUGGCCUGCUCUGCUUCUCUCGCUGCAGCUUCCGCUUCCCUCGCUGCCGCCUCUGCUUUAAGUUGUAGUUGGAGUUCUUCAUAUUUCCUUUGAACCUCAACUGUGGUCGCUUGCAUCUCAGCCAUUUGGUCUUUCAACCUCUGAACUUCAACUUGAGCCUGACUCCCCGAAGCCAUGUAUUGGUGGGAGCUGGAUCCAAAAUAUUGGGUUGGGCUAACAAAAGAUCCUUGAAAUCGAACUCGAUCGUACCUUUCAGGACCCAAAAAUUCAGUAAUAAUCCGGUUAUCAAUGUCUUCAAGAUGAACAGAACUAUCACUAGAAGCAAUCGCUUCGUACUCCGCCUUUUUAUCCUUUAGUUUUUUCUAAUAAAUAAAUCACAUAGUUAGGAACGCAAUAUUAUAUAUUAAAAAACAUAUGCAACAUAACAAUAGUUGCAUUAUAAGCAAUGAACUAUACCAUUAGAAAAUAAACACUAAAAAUAACUAAAAUAAGUCAAAUCUUAUUAAGUAAACGUACCAUUAUUUCACCAGCUUCAGAAGUCAUGGGAGAUCCAUCUUUCUUCCUAUGUGUAAUUUCAAAAAGUUGAAGGCAUCCAACUUUUUGACCGGACGACAGUUCCUACAAUAUGGUAGUAUAAAUAUUAUUUAACAGAAAGUUAUACAUAUUCGACAAUAUUAAAAAAAAUUAAAAAUACCUCCGCCUCAGCUACACAUGCAAAACUUCUCGACCCGGCUGUGUGGGUGAAUUUUUGUUUCUGCCUGCUGCUUUUUCCAACUUGUUCACGAUCCUACGUUAUGAAAUUUUUAGUGCGUAAAUAGAAAAUACUAUAAACCAAAAUAAUUACAACAGUUUGGAAGUACGUCAUACCUCGCAUUUCUUCGAAUGCCAAAAUCUAACCGCAUCUUCCCAUUGGUACCUCAACAUACCCGGCGGGACAUUUUGCAAUUUCUCAUCUAGGGUUGUUUUUGUUUUAUAAUAAUUUUUCUUCAAAGUACUUUUAUUGUCUCUCCAUCUUUUUCCCAAUGCUUUCUUUACAUAAGCAUCCGAGACCUCUAAAGCAAACCUCGCCUACAAAAAACAAAAAACACAAGUUAAUAAAGUAAAUAUAAAUGAAACUAUUUCCCAAGCAUUACAGAUGUCAUUAACAUUUUGUUACCUUAAUAUUAUCGAGGGCUUGGUUUUUGUUGCUUUCGGGCACUUGAUGCCAUGACUCGUAGUUGAUAGGCAACAUAUUCGCAUUUUGUGCUAAAAUGCCCAUGUAUCCUGCUAAAAGUCGAGCUUCUGAUCCAACAGGCUGACCAAAACUGUUUCGUCCAACUUUGACACGCUCGACUGGAUCUAACUCGUAUAACUCUCUAAGUAGCGUACGUCCUCGACCUCUGCGCGUCCCACCAUUUUCAGCUACAAAUGGUAUAUUAUAAUAUAAGAAUUUGAAAAAUAAAUCAACUAUAACAGAAACACGCAUGUAAAUUAAACGUAAAAUUACUGUGAACUUCUGUAGGAUCCUCAGCUGUAAUCGGAACAUUCGAAGAUCCAAUUGCUGUCUGCUGUUCAGUACUAUUUGUCUCUAUCGAGUUAGGAUUAUUCCUCGUAAUGCUUCCCCUUAGAAUUUUUCUUCUAGGCAUUUUAUCUGCAAUACACAUAAAAUAAUUGACAACUUAAUAACUAAUUACAACAAUAUCAGCACAUAUAAAACAGUUGAAAUAUAGCAUAAGACCAAGAUUUAUAUUAUGAUAUUACAUAUAAUCAAACAAUCGUAAAAUCUUACUACAUCAUUAUUCAUAAAUAUCUUGAUCGGUAUCCUGACGAACCCAUUGAAAUUGUGCACUAGUACUAGGGAUAUUGUCAGUUUAAGUUUUGUUCUGGAAAUGGCAAAGUUUUUGAUCUGUCGUCGAUGUUAUCUCUACUUCCACUGCCCAUGUCAAACAAGUCUCUAGGGAUGUUACGGAGUACAACAUACCAACCCUCAUCAGUUGGAUCUUUUGAGUAAAAAACUUGUUUGACUUGAGAUGAGAAUACAUACGGCUCAUCUAUCAGUUGUUGUCCUGUGUGAAUCAAUCGGUCAAAGUUCACCAUUGUAAAACCAAAUUGAUCUUGCUUAAUUCCACGAGCUGUAUUAACAUCGGCCCAAUCACCUCGAAAUAAGACAACUUUCCAUUUGCCGUAGUAAUCCAACUCUAUUAUGUCAGUAAGAUGUCCGAAAUAUUCCACAUUUCCCUCGACAGGAUUAUUGUCCCUAGCACUAGCAUAACUUGUGAUUGCAGAAUUGACAACUAUUCCACAAUUUUGUGUUCUCCUCAACCUCUCGCGAUAUUUUGUAUGAAAUCUGAAUCCGUUGAUGAGGAACGCACUAUAUCUUUUAACCACUCGAUUUGGACCUUGGGAGAGCCAUUUAACUUCGUCGUUUACGUUCUUCCCACUCCAAACCUAUUGAACGGAAAGUAAACUAAGUAAUUAAAAAUGUUAUGAGAAAACAUUAUUAUUUGUAAGUGGAAGCUCCAACUGCAUACCGUUUGGCUUAACCAUUCAUAAAAAGAUUUUGUAAACAUCUUAUUGAUAUCUCGAUGUUGUGUUCUUCGGGAGCACGAACGAGAUCUCAAUAUUUGUUUGUACUCACUAUGUUAAAAAAAUGUUCACCUUGUUAGAAGAUAAAUAGUUAUUAGUUUGAUAAAUAUUUAUCAAAUUUGUAGAACUUACUUCCGUAAAGGUUCCAAUGAUUCGUGGUGAAACAGAACAUAUCGAUGUGCUUGUACCCACGAUAAAUGAUCUGAUACUGUAAUUUCAACUUUGCCGACUGGUUCUCCAAAACUUUGGAACAAAUAAGUAUCGACUAAGUUAUGGUCCGUGAGUCCAGCAUUCCUAUUUGGUCUGUUUAACCUUGUUUCAACAUCUUCCAAAUAUCUUAAGCAGAAGGUCAUACAUUCCUCUGCCAAGUAGCCUUCAGCAAUCGAUCCUUCUGGAUAUCGCUUGUUACGGCAGUAAGACUUUAAUUUGGAUAGAAACCUAAACACAAUAUACAACAUUUCUUAAUUAUUGAAACUAAAGGCAUAUAGGUGAAUGAAGGAAAAUUGCAAAAAUUUUAAUUAACACCUUUCUAUGGGAUACAUCCAUCGAUAGAAAACGGGUCCGCCAAGAAUUGCUUCGUGUGGGAGAUGGAUUAUCAAGUGAACCAUAAUAGUGAAGAAGGAAGGUGGGAAGAUUUUCUCCAUGUUGCAUAAAGUCAAAGCGGCUCGAUCCUGUACCUUCUGAAGUUCUUUAACAUCCAAAACUUUGCCACAAAUGUCUUUCAUUAUGUUGGAUAGUUCAAUUAUACAAGACGUCACCUUCUUGGACAUACAACAUCGUAGAGCCACUGGCAGUAAAUCUUGCAUCAAGAUGUGAUAGUCAUGUGAUUUUAGCGAAUAUAAUCUUCGAUCUUUAACACUAACACAUCGAGAUAUAUUUGAUGCAUACGCAUCUGGAACCUUUAUAUCCUUCAACACCGUGCAGAACACUUCUUUUUUCGUCUUCGACAUUGAAAAAAUAGAAGGCGGCAAUCGAUAUUUCCCAUUCGGAAGUGGAUUGGGAUGAAGAUCAGGUCGGAUUCCCAUUUGGAGUAAAUCAAGUCGACUCUGAAGAUUGUCUUUUGAUUUUCCGUCGACAUUCAAAAUUGUACCCACAAUGUUCUCGCAGACAUUUUUCUCAAUGUGCAUAACAUCAAAGAUUGUGUUGUAAAAAGUGAUGCUCCCAAUAAGGCAACUUAAAAAAAUACUUCUUUUUUUCCACAAGUCUGCCUCAUUAGGAUCGUCCUCUUCAUCAGAGUCAUCAUCAGCUUCAUCAUUUAAUCUUCUAUUUCUUUGCGUGUUUGGCGGUUGGUUCAUCUUCCCAUAAAUGAAAUUCAUAUCUUCCAACAUGAACAAGAUUUCAGAGCCACUGGUCUGUGAAGGAGCUUCUCUAAACUCUUCAGUACCAUCAAAUACAGAACUCUGAAAUCUAAAUCUAUGAUUUUUCGGUAACCACCGACGAUGCCCAUGUAAGAGAACUUCUUCCCAUUGUACAACCAUUGCGAACAUGUUUGUGCAGCACAACAAGGACACGCAUAACGACCCUAGGUACUUCAACCGGAUAAAUUGGCAUAAGCGGGAAAGUCAUUAAUGGUCCACAUCAAAGCUGCACGUAAAUUAAAGUUCUCCUUUCUUAGCACAUCGUAUGUCUCGACACCAGCCCACAAUUAUUUUAACUCUUCAAUAAGUGGCUGUAAAUAAAUAUCGAUAUCAUUCCCGGGCCCUUUCUCUCCAGGGAUAAUCAUAGAUAAGAUAAGGGAAGAUUGCUUCAUGCAAAUCCACGGAGGCAGAUUGUAAGGAACAAGCACUACUGGCCAAGUACUGUAGGCAGUGCUCAUGAUCUUGAAAGGAUUAAAUCCAUCAGAUGCUAGCCCAAGCCGCACACUCCUAGGAUCGCUUGCAAAGCUUGGAAAUUUAUUGUCAAAUGCUUUCCAAGAUAAAGAAUCUGCCGGAUGCCUUAGUAAUCCAUCAUCGGUUCGUCCAUCAUGGUGGCACGUCAUUGACUCCGCCGUCUUCGAUGACAUGAAAAGCCUUUGAAGCCUUGGUAUCAACGGAAAAUACCGCAAAAUCUUAACUGGCUUCUUCCUCGACUGUGCAUCAUUUUCAUCGUCGUUCCCAUGUUCUGUGUUUCUAUUUAUCCAACGGGAUUGGCCGCAUACAUGACAGCACUGUUGGUUUUUCCAAUCGCCCCAAUACAACAUGCAGUCAUUUGGGCAACUAUGGAUUUUGUUGUACCCAAGGCCUAAAUCUUUUAUCAUUUUCUUCAUAUCUUUGCAUGACUGAGGGAUUUUUGCAAACGGAAACAUUUCUCUUAAAAACUUUAACAGCAUUGUCAACGAGUUUUCGGUCCACCCGCCCAAAUAUUUUAAUUGAAAAAGACGAACAGAGAAAGACAUUUUUGAAAAUUUUGAUCCCUCAUACAGUUCUUCGUUCAUGUCAUUAAGUAGCGUGUAGAACUUCACCGCUUCUUCAUUCGGCUCUUCAUGAGGUACACUACUUCCCGGUUCGGUAAAAGCAUUUCUCCCAAUAUUACAAUCAUCGGAAGCCACAAAGUCCGCUGGGAACGACUGGACACCAUGAUUGUGCAUAUUAAAUGCAUCCCGCAACAUACCUUCCAUGUCAUCCUCUCUAUCAGACUGAUGGUAAGCAGUACUAGAAUUAGAUACAUCCAUUCUUGAAGAUGAAGUACUAGGCGGGCAUUCUCCAUGAAAUAACCAUUGUUUAUAACCCCGAACAAACCCAUCAACAAUUAGAUGCUCGUACACAACCUCACGAUAAUGCCAGGUUAUGUUGACACACUUCUUACAGGGGCACAGAAUCAUGUUCUCUUGGCUUGCAUAUUGAAAUGAAAAAUUUAGAAAAUACUGUACUCCAUUUCGAUAAUCAUUGCUAACCCUUGACAAAUUCAUCCAAGACUGGUCCAUUUCUUAAUUCUUGAAGUCUUACGUUGACAAUAAUUUGCACGGGUAAGUUAAAACGCCAGUUAUAACCAUAAAUGAAUUACGGAAAUUUGUGAUAUGAUAUAUUUUUAUGUAAGUUAUGCAAGUUUAUGUAAGUUACUUAAUUUAUGUAAGUUAUAGAAGUUAUUUAAUUUAUGUAGGUUAUGUAAGUUAUUUAAUUUAUGCAAGUUUAUGCAUGUUAUGUAGGUUACUUAAUUUAUGUAAGUUAUGUAAGUUAUUUAAUUUAUGUAGGUUAUGUAAGUUAUGUAACUUAUUUAAUUUAUUCAAGUUAUGUAAGUAAUUUAAUUUAUGUAUAAGCUUGUAGAUAACUUAUGUAAGUUAAUAUGUAAGUAAUGUAAACCCUAAGUUUAUAUAUAAAACUUAUGUGAUAGUUAUUAACAUGCAAUCAAUUAAUAAUUCAUUGAGAAUUCAUAUUAUCGAUUUAUUAAACAUCCAAUCAAUUAACUUACAAAACUUGAUAAUUCAUUGACAUUCAAUCAAUUAAUCGAUCAAUUUAUUAAAUAAUGAUAGAUUAUUUAAACAUUAACAUUCAAUAAAUUACAUUAAUUGUUUAACGUCGAUAAAUUAUUAAUUGACAUAAAAUUGAAAAUCGAUAAUUUGUUCACUUUAAAAUGAAUCAACUAUUCGGCCAUAAUUUGUUCAAAACCCAUUGAAAUUUUGCGAACUGAUUUAAGAAUUUUAAUCAUUUGCGUAAUUGUUUUUGCUUGGGUUAAAAAUAUGUACAAGAAUUAGAAUCAUACUUUUUACCUUGCAGUUGUGGAAAAAUUUUGCAAAGUAACAUGCAAAUUAAGCUAGCAACAAACGGUUAUCAAGAAUGAUAAAUAAAAUCGAUACCCACAGCCUUAAAAAAAGUUAUUAAAUAUAACAAAAAAUAUUUUUAAAAAAAAUCUGAAUUAAAACUCCAUUUUAAAACUCAAAAAUAAUAAUUAAAGUAUAAAGCUUAAAUAUAACAAAAUCCAAAAUUUAAAUGUUUGGAGGUGUUUUUUUAAUCAAACUAAGGUGGGAAACAUAGGAAUAAAUACCUCAAAUUCCCUCGACUUCGAAGCGAACUACUGCAUAAAACAAAAAUAAGAGGAAAACAAAUUUUAAUUAGUACCAAUUAAACAAGAAAAAAAUAAAACAAGGAAAGCGAUGAGUAUUUAACUAAAUUACAAUUUCUUAAAACAACUCUAAACCCAUCUCCCUCAACAAUGCAAAAGUUUAGAAACCUUAAGAAGAACAUUUAUAUAACAGAAGAACCUAAUUAUUUAUAUCCCCAAACUAACCAUUACAAAAUUAACUGCUUCAUAUCAGAAGAACUAACUACUAACCACUUCAGCAGACUAAACUAACAUCAACUGCAUUGUCUUCAGUAUGUACAUGCCUUCUUUCAAACUUUUUAAACAUUUCCUUAGGUAGAACAAUUGAGUGUGCAAAAUUUAUGAUAGUUGUAGUAAACAAUAAAUAUGAUCAGAAAACAACAAAUACAGCAACUUGCAGACAGAAGCCAUUUUGCAGACAUGGAUACUUAAUAAGAAGAUCAGUAUUCGAAUUCCCAAAUAAAUCAACACUACACCAAAAAGUAAUAAUAGAGCUAAAGAAAAUGAGAACUCACCAGAAUAAGAUAUGUUCCAAAUUAGCAAGUUGUUUUUGCUUCCAUGAAAUAUCGUUAAAUUCCAAUCUUUAAUUCAGAAACUAUUUAAUGAGGAAAAUUCCAAGUUUUUUUUUUGCUUCCACGAAAUCUGCAUGAUUGACCAAUGAAUUCAAUGAGGAAAAUAAAAACAACUUGCUGUUUGUGAAUUUAAUAGUUUUGAAAAAAAACAAAAGUGCAAAAAAGGUAAAUAAAGACCGUAGCCAAAAGCAAUGGAUUCCCCGGCCCCAAACGAAAGCGAAAGCAGCGGGGCAGGUAUGUUCAUGGAAAAAAAGGGAGUUCAUUGUUUUCUUUACCAAAACAGACAUUGUUUGAUGUUUAUGGAUUUUUUUGUUCAAAAUCGGUAUGCCAGAUAACAUCCACGCAUGAAAAAGAAAAGGGAAGAUGCCGAACUUACCGAUUGUUGGGGCACCGGAGACGCAGGGGGACUGUGAUGUGGCAAAGCAGACGAUGCCUUACAGGGAUACGUCGGGUAUGGGGAACUGUUAGGGAUUAGGGGAAUUUAGGGAUUUGGGGGAGAUGACAGAUUGGGAAGAGGGUGAUCAAUUAAUCAGGGUUUUUGGUUUUGUUUCGGUCAAAAGGAUGGAAAAAAAACGAUGCCAUUUUAUUCCUAUUUAAUCCAGUUGCGGCGUUUAUCCAUAAGCGCCACAAAAUAUCAAGUCAAACGCCGUCGUUUCGACAUAAGUUAAAUCAAACUCUUGGCGUUUUCAACCCUAAACGCCACAACUAAAAUAAGUAAAAUGGCACCGUUUAUAUAUAAAAUUUAAACCAUUUGCGGCGUUUCAGGUAAAGCGCCACUAAAGACAAUGCCAAACGACGCAGUUUCUUAACUCAUAAUACAUUAUUGCGACGUUUACAAAAAGCGCCACUAAAUGUAAAGCACAAAACGGUGAUGUUUUGCUAACAUUUCAAUUCAAUUAACGAAUAUUUCAAUAAUUUCUUUUAAAUUAGAGAGAAAAUUUUAACUAAUAAUUACACAUUUUAAAAAGAAAAUACAUCAGUACAUUUUUAUAUUGAAUAAAUAUAAAUAUUUAUGUAUGUAAUAUAAAUAAAAAUUUAUUUUAAUUAUAUCAAUAAUUAUGUUACUAUUUUACAAGAUUAUCUGGAUCACACACAAUAAAAGUUAAUGUAUAAAAUAGUUGAACAGUAAAACAUUGUUCGUGUCUGCUUUUGGGAUUUAACCCAUUUUGAUAUAUUUUUUAAAAUAUUAAUUUAUAUUUAUAUAAUUUUCAUUUAUAUUAAUCUAGAAUAUCCAAGAUUAAAGCCAAAAGCCCCAAUCCCUAAAUUAAAGUUGAAACCCUAAAAUCGUCAACCAUUUUAUUUAUCUGUAACCAUCAUACCCCAAACUAUAAACCCCUAUAAUGUAAGCCUUAAUUAAUCGUAAAUCUUAAACCCCAAACUAUAUAACCUUUAACCUUAAACCCUAAAUCCCAACACGUAAAAUUUAAACCCUAAACCCAUCAAUUAACCAUAAAACACCAAACCACCAAACCAUAAAAUACAAUCCACAAUAUAUCGUAAACAUUAACCGUAGAUCUUAAACCCUAAAUUAACCAUAAAUAUUAAAUCCGUAAACCACAAACAACAACCACCAAAUCAUAAAUUCUAAACCUUAAAGUUGGCCAAACCCCUAAAGUCUAAACCGUAAGUCAUAAACCAUAUCAAGUCAAAUUCGGGUCGCCAAUGUGUUAGUUUAGUACAGAACAUAUAUUUUAUAUUAUUUAAUUAUUUAAUAUAGGUGUGCUACAACGUGGCAUGAUUCCCAGUAAAAUUAAAAUGUUAUUCUUUAAUUAGUUUUCAAAUAGUAGUAUAUAUAUAUCUUUAAACCUUGAACAUCAAACCUUAAAUCCCUAGCCCAAAAUAAAAAAUAGUAUGUAUACCAUAAACCCUAAAACUCUAUAACGAAAAUAAUGGAAAAAUAAAUCCUAAAAUAAUGGAAAAAUAAAUUAAGUUUCUUGCGGCGUUUUAAUCAAAAGCGCCACUAAAAGCUGAUAUCAGCGGCGUUUCCAAAUAAGCGCCACUAAUGAAUCUAUACGUGUAGUCGAAACGAUGCGUUUCCCUAAGAAAUUUUGCGGCGCUUAAGCAUAAGCGCCACUAAAAGCUGAUAUUCAGCGGCGUUUACGGAUAAGCGUCAGUAAAUGCGCUAUAGCUCAAGACCAAACGUUGCGUUUCGGUUUCAUAUAUUCCGGCGUUUUUGUGAUACGCGCCGCUAAUAGCGGGCUCUAGCGGCGUUUUCCUGAAGUGCCACUAUUGGCUCUAUGCCUCAAUUCCAAACGGUGUGUUUUGGUCCAGAUCUUUUGCAGCGCUUUUUCCCUAGCGCCGCUAAUAAUGUGCUUUAGCGGCGUUUUUUAUAGAAACGCCACCAAUUCUACUAUACCUCAAUCUUGUACGCUGCGUUUUGUUUAACAUUUUUUUGCGGCGCUUACAAACAAACGCCGCUAAUGAUCCACUUCAGCGGCGUUUUUAUAGAAACGUCACAAAUUCAACUAUACCUCAAUCUUGUACGCUGCGUUUUGUUUAACAUUUUUUGCGGCAUUUUUACAGAAACGCCAUUAAUUCCACCAUACCUCAAUCUUGUACGCUGCGUUUUGUUUAACAUUUUUUGCGGCGCUUACAAGCAAAUGCUGCUAAUGAUCCACUUCAGCGGCGUUUUGACAGAAACGCCACCAAUUCUACUAUACCUCAAUCCUGUACGCUGCGUUUUGUUUAACAUUUUUUACGGCGCUUACAAACAAAUGUCGCUAAUGAUACACUUCAGUGGCGUUUUACAGAAACGCCACAAAUUCUACUAUACCUCAAUCUUGUACGUUGCGUUUUGUUUAACAUUUUUUGCGGCGCUUACAAACAAACGCCGCUAUUUAUCCACUUCAGCGGCGUUUUUAUAGAAACGCCACCAAUUCUACUAUACCUCAAUCUUGUACGCUGCGUUUUGUUUAACAUUUUUUACGGCGCUUACAAAUAAAUGCCGCUAAUGAUCCACUCCAGCGGUGUUUUUAUAAAAACGCCACCAAUUCUACUAUACCUCAAUCUUGUACGCUGCGUUUUGUUUAACAUUGUUUGCGGCGCUUACAAACAAACGCCGCUACUGCCACUAUUCCUGAAUAUUAAACGAUGCGUUUUGUCAGAUUUACUUCGGCGUUUUUUUAAAAACGCCACUAAUGAUGCUCUUUUGCGGCGUUGAUAUAUAAAACGCCACUAUAGGUCUGAUCAUUUACGGUGUUUUCCUAAAAGCAUCGCUAUUUCUGGAUCUUUACUGGCAUUUUAGGGUUAGCGCCGCUAAUGCCUGAUUUGUAGCGGCGUUUUAUCGACAAACGCCACAAAAAACGCCGCUAAAGCCCUCUUUUGGUGUAGUGAGCACCGCAAAAUAUGUGGACCAAAACGCAGCGUUUCGUCUUGAGCUAUAGCGCCCAAAUUUUAAACGACGUCGCUUUGAUGAUGUUUACCGGUCUUAACGGCGGUUUUACAUAAACGCCGCAAAUAUUUCUGUAAUACGACGUCGUUUACUUUUAUUAUUUGGUUGGAAGUUAGACAAAACGACAUCGUUUUUAUACUGUUUAUUAGUAUCAGCGGCAUUUUUUUGUAAAAACGCCGCAAAUGAAAUAAAUUAUAUUUUAGGGUUUCGGGAUUAAUAUUUAAGUUUUGUCGUGUACGAUUUGGGGUUUUAGGGUUCAUUACAUAAUGUUCAUUAUUUUAGGUUUAUAUUAUUAAGUUCAGGGUUUUGGGUUUAGGUUUAUGGCUUGGGGAUUGGGGUUUAAGGUUUAGAGUUUCAGUUUACAUGUUAGUAUUAAUGUGAGGUCAGUGUUUACGGCUUAUAAGAUAAUGAUCAAAUUUACUGUUUUAGGGCUUGAUGUUUAUGGUUUAUGGUUUAGCGUUAAUGAUUUGAAUGUUACAAUGCAUGGUUUUUGCGUUUCGGAUUCGCAUGAAGAAUACGAGUUAGGGUUUAUAAUUUAAUUUUAAAAUUUAUGGGUUAUAGGGAUUAAUAGCUUUGGGUUUUAGGGUUUAAUUACUCAUCUAAAACAAAAGCCAAAAAAAUGUAAAUUCUUUGUGUUUUUUACUUCUUAUUAUAUAUGUCAUUAGUAGGAUUAUAAUUAAAUAUAAUUAGGGUUAUAGAAAAAGAUAUAUAUGCAACGAUAUAUAUAUGUUAUAUAUUAUGAAACAUAUAUAUUAAUAUUGUGUUAGUUACAUAACAAUCAUAUUAAUGUGUCAAUUUAUAAUAAUGUCAUAACAAUUAUCAAAAUAAAAAAAUCUAUUAAAAAUCAUUAAACUUAUAAAUAAAGAGAAAUAAAACAUUUUUAAAAAUUGAAUAAUUAGCGGCGUUUGUUUGUAACACGCCACAAAAAAAUGUUAAACAAAACGCAGCGUACAAUAUUGAGGUAUAGUAGAAUUGGUGGCGCUUCUAUAAAAACGCCGUUGAAGCACAUCAUUAGCGGCGCUAAUGAUAAAGCACUGCAAAAUAUGUGGACCAAAACGCAGCGUUUCAUCUUGAGCUAUAGCGCCCAAAUUUUGGAACGACGUCGCUUUGAUGAUGUUUACCGGUCUUAGCGACAGUUUUACAUAAACGCCGCAAAUAUUUUUGUAAUACGACGUCGUUUACUUUUAUUAUUUGGUUGGAAGUUAGACAAAACGACAUCGUUUUUAUACUGUUUAUUGGUAUUAGCGGUGUUUGUUAUAAAAACACCGCAAUGGAAAUAAAUUAUAUUUUAGGUUUUACUGAUUAAAAUUUAAAAUUGAAAAAUAUAUUUUUUUAUAAUUUCAAUUAUUUAUAAAUUUUAAUGUUGCUAAUAUAUACAUUAUUCAUACUGUAUAAAAUUAAAAAAAUUUAAUAAAUUUUAUCAUUUAAAAUAAUGUAUUAAAUCAGAAAUAUAUUAAAAAUUAAAAUUAUAAAUAAAAAGAAAUAAUAAAUUAUAAGAAGUGAAUUAUUAGUGGCAUUUCUAUGCAAAUCGCCGCAAGGAUCCAAUUAAAAUUGAAACAAAACGGCGCCGUUUCGUUGACGAAUUUAAUUUGUAGUGAUGUUUUUUUCUCAAAAUGCCGCAAAAGAUAUAAGAUUGUGGCAUUUUUUAUUAGCGCCACAAAUGUAUUUUAAUGAAACGGCGUCGUUUUAUUGAGCAGAUCAGUUUUGGGGUAUAUCCCCGCCCCCAGCCCCAAUUCCAAUUUCUCUCUGAAAUCCCUAAGUGUUUCACCGAAAUCCCUAAGGUUUUUUCCUAUCAGCCAUUUCUAAGAAAGCAAUUCUUCAUCUGUACCGUGUUUUAUUGUUUGGGUGUUUCCAUUUCUUGCAAAAGAUUAAAAUCUCCGGUUCGUACAUUCAGUCAACACACAUAGUUGACGGAGAACGUCGCGAAGCAUCAUCAGAAUCAGUCAUCGGGGGAAUAAGUAUUCAAGGUUCGAUUUCCCCAUUCUGCCUCCGUAUUCAUUUGGGUUUUCUCUUACUUGUUAAUUUUAUUCUUGGUUUGUUGAUCCUGAAAUUAAAAAAAAUUGUAUCCUCUGUUUAUAGGGUAUUCGGUCUUCCUCUUCAUUUUUUGUGGAUUGUCCUGAAGGUAGUGUAAUGCUUCGAAAGUGAAAUUAUUUUCGGAAUGGUUUCAUUGCUUACAAACUGAUGUUAAUACUGCUUUUUUAUAGGGUUUCAGUCUAUUCCAUUUCAUUGCGUUCAUUUCUGUUUUCUGCAUUGUUCUGAAGGUACAAAUAUAUAUGUAGGAAAAUUUGAUGUGCAAAUAUAUAUGUAGGAAAAUUUCUGUUUUCUGCACAAACAUGCUGUCGGUGGAUUCAUCUGCUACUCUGCUUUUAGCAAAGGAUUUGAUGUGCAAAUAUUUAUGUAGGAAAAUUUGCCCUAGAAACAAAGGAUAAAAUGGUUUGAAUGUCUUACUGUUUUGACCUAGUUUGCUUGGAAAUCGCUUAAGAAAACUUAAGUGUCAAACGAAGCUGUCUUUAGCUUCUAUUUUCCACUCAAAACUCGAAAUGCACUUUGACAGUGGCAUUAGUAUUGUCUUCAUCUUUUUAAUAUUUCUUUAUGUGAUUCACCUUGUUUUUAAAUAUUACAAAAUACUUCUUUUUAUGAUGUAUAUAAAUCUUCACAAUUGCUUUACUUAAAACAUGAAAUCAUAAGUUGAAAAUGCUCGUUUUUCAAAAUGUCAAGUCACUUAUUCAUAUAAUUUGGAGAACUUCCUCUUUAAACUGUUAUUUUAAUACUUUAAAUAAGUCAAAGUAAAAAUGGUGCAUCAAAUUGAAUGCUGACUGUGCUCACUUUUAGAUUAAUUUAAUUUAUUUACAUAUGAUUCAAAGAGUCAACUUGUAGCUAAGUCAUCUAGUUACCCUAAUUUUGUAUGUAUAUUCACUCUCCACGAAUAAUUCAGUGGACCGGUAAGUUUAAAAGCAAAGAUUGCUUAUGUAAGCUAUAUUUAAAUUUUAUUAAUAAUAAAUUGACAACUUAAAUAAGUAUUACUAUAUUUUUAAUAUUAUACAUAUAUUCAUUUACGUAUGUAAGCUAUAUUUAAAUUUUAUUAAUAAUAUUUAAACAUAUUUUGUUGUCAAUUUUGUACACAUAUACCUCUCCACGAAUAAUUCAGUGGAAGAUUAGUUUAAAAGCAAAGAUUACUUAUGUAAGCUAUAUUUAAAUUUUAUUAAAUAUAUGAUUAUCCCUGGAGAGAAAGGGCCCGGGAAUGAUAUUGACAUUUAUUUACAGCCACUUAUUGAAGAGUUAAAAUAAUUGUGGGCUGGUGUCGAGACAUACGAUGUGCUGAGAAAGGAGAACUUUAAUUUACGUGCAGCUUUGAUGUGGACCGUUAAUGACUUUCCCGCUUAUGCCAAUUUAUCCGGUUGGAGUACCAAGGGUCGUUAUGCGUGUCCUUGUUGUGCUGUACAAACAUGUUCGCAAUGGUUGUACAAUGGGAAGAAGUUCUCUUACAUGGGGCAUCGUCGGUGGUUAUCAGAAAAUUAUAGAUUUAGAUUUCAGAGUUCUGUAUUUGACGGUACUGAAAAGUUCAGAAAAGCUCAUUCGCAGAUCAGUGGCUCUGAAAUCUUGUUCAUGUUGGAAGAUAUGAAUUUCAUUUAUGGGAAGAUGAACCAACCGCCAAACACGCAAAGAAAUAGAAGAUCAAAUGAUGAAGCUGAUGAUGACUCUGAUGAAGAGGACGAUCCUAAUGAGGCAGACUUGUGGAAAAAAAGAAGUAUUUUUUUUGAGUUGCCUUAUUGGGAGCAUCACCUUUUACGACACAAUCUUGAUGUUAUGUAUAUUGAGAAAAAUGUCUGCGAGAACAUUGUGGGUACAAUUUUGAAUGUCGACGAAAAAUCAAAAGACAAUCUUCAGAGUCGACUUGAUUUAGUCCAAAUGAGAAUCCGACCUGAUCUUUAUCCCAAUCCACUUCCGAAUAGGAAAUAUCGGUUGCCGCCUUCUAUUUUUUCAAUGUCGAAGACGGAAAAAGAAGUGUUCUGCACGGUGUUGAAGGAUAUAAAGGUUCCAGAUGCGUAUGCAUCAAAUAUAUCUCGAUGUGUUAGUGUUAAAGAUCGAAGAUUAUAUUCGCUAAAAUCACAUGACUAUCACAUCUUGAUGCAAGAUUUACUGCCAGUGGCUCUACGAUGUUGUAUGUCCAAGAAGGUGACGUAUUGUAUAAUUGAACUAUCCAACAUAAUGAAAGCCAUUUGUGGCAAAGUUUUGGAUGUUCAAGAACUUCAGAAGGUACAGGAUCGAGCCGUUUUGACUUUAUGCAACAUGGAGAAAAUCUUCCCACCUUCAUUCUUCACCAUUAUGAUUCACUUGAUAAUCCAUCUCCCGCACGAAGCAAUUCUUGGCGGACCCGUUUUCUAUCGAUGGAUGUAUCCCAUAGAAAGGUGUUAAUUCAAAAUUUUAAAAUUUUCCUUCAUUCACCUCUAUGCCUUUAGUUUCAAUAAUUAAGAAAUGUUGUAUAUUGUGUUUAGGUUCCUAUCCAAAUUAAAGUCUUACUGCCGCAACAAGCGAUAUCCAGAAGGAUCGAUUGCUGAAGGCUACUUGGCAGAGGAAUGUAUGACCUUCUGCUCAAGAUAUUUGGAAGAUGUUGAAACAAGGUUAAGCAGACCAAAUAGGAAUGCUGGACUCACGGACCAUAACUUAGCCGAUACUUAUUUGUUCCAAAGUUUUGGAGAACUAAUCGACAAAGUUGAAAUUACAGAAUUAGAUCAUUUAUCGUGGGUACAAGCACAUCGAUAUAUUCUGUUUCACCACGAAUCAUUGGAACCUUUACGGAAGUAAGUUCUACAAAUUUGAUAAAUAUUUAUCAAACUAAUAACUAUUUAUCUUCUAACAAGGUGAACAUUUUCUUAACAUAGUGAGUACAAACAAAUAUUGAGAUCUCGUUCGCUCUCCCGAAGAACACAACAUCGAGAUAUCAAUAAGAUGUUUACAGAAUCUUUUUAUGAAUGGUUGAGCCAAACGGUAUGCAGUUGGAGCUUCCGCUUACAAAUAAUAAUGUUUUCUCAUAACAUUUUUAAUUACUCAGUUUACUUUCCGUUUAAUAGGUUUGGGUGGGAAGAACGUAAACGACGAAGUUAAAUGGCUCUCCCAAGGUCCAAAUCGAGUGGUUAAAAGAUAUAGUGCGUUCCUCAUCAACGUAUUCAGAUUUCAUACAAAAUACGCGAGAGGUUGAGGAGAACGCAAAAUUGUGGAAUAGUUGUCAAUUCUGCAAUUACAAGUUAUGCUAGUGCUAGGGACAAUAAUCCUGUCGAGGGAAAUGUGGAAUAUUUCGGAUAUGUUACUGACAUAAUUGAGUUGGAUUACUACGACAAAUGGAAAGUUGUAUUAUUUCGAGGUGAUUGGGCCGAUGUUAAUACAGCUCGUGGAAUUAAGCAAGAUCAAUUUGGUUUUACAAUGGUGAACUUUGACCGAUUGAUUCACACAGGACAACAACUGAUAGAUGAGCCGUAUGUAUUCUCAUCUCAAGUCAAACAAGUUUUUUACUCAAAAGAUCCAACUGAUGAGGGUUGGUAUGUUGUACUCCGUAACAUCCCUAGAGACUUGUUUGACAUGGGCAGUGGAAGUAGAGAUAACAUCGACGACAGAUCAAAAACUUUGCCAUUUCCAGAACAAAACUUAAACGACAAUAUCCCUAGUACUAGUGCACAAUUUCAAUGGGUUCGUCAGGAUACCGAUCAAGAUAUUUAUGAAUAAUGAUGUAGUAAGAUUUUACGAUUGUUUGAUUAUAUGUAAUAUCAUAAUUUAAAUCUUGGUCUUAUGCUAUAUUUCAACUGUUUUAUAUGUGUUGAUAUUGUUAUAAUUAGUUAUUAAGUUGUCAACUAUUUUAUGUGUAUUGCAGAUAAAAUGCCUAGAAGAAAAAUUCUAAGGGGAAGCAUUGUUCAAAAUGAUCCUAACUCGACAGAAACAAAUAGUACUGAACAGCUGACAGCAAUUGGAUCUUCGAAUGUUCCGAUUACAGCUGAGGAUCCUACAGAAGUUCAAAGUAAUUUUACAUUUAAUUUACAUGCGUGUUUCUAUUAUAGUUGAUUUAUUUUUCAAAUUCUUAUAUUAUAAUAUACCAUUUAUAGCUGAAAAUGGUGGGACGCGCAGAGGUCGAGGACGUACGCUACUUAGAGAGUUAUACGAGUUAGAUCCACUCGAGCGUGUCAAAGUUGGACGAAACAGUUUUGGUCAGCCUGUUGGAUCAGAAGCUCGACUUCUAGCAGGAUACAUGGGCAUUUUAGCACGAAAUCCGAAUAUGUUGCCUAUCAACUACGAGUCAUGGCAUCAAAUGCCCGAUAGCAACAAAAACCAAGCCCUCGAUAAUAUUAAGGUAACAAAAUGUUAAUGCCAUCUGUAAUGCUUGGGAAAUAGUUUCAUUUAUAUUUACUUUAUUAACUUGUGUUUUUUGUUUUUUGUAGGCGAGGUUUGCUUUAGAGGUCUCGGAUGUUUACGUAAAGAAGGCAUUGGGAAAAAGAUGGAGAGACAAUAAAAGUACUUUGAAGAAAAAUUAUUAUAAAACAAAAACAACCCUCGAUGAGAAAUUGCAAAAUGUCCUGCCGGGUAUGUUGAGGUACCAUCGGAAGAUGCAGUUAGAUUUUGGCAUUCGAAGAAAGGUGAGGUAUGACGUACUUCCAAAAUAUUGUAAUUAUUUUGGUUUAUAGUAUUUUCUAUUUACGUACUAAAAAUUUCAUAACGUAGGAUCGUGAACAAGUUGGAAAAAGCAGCAGGCAGAAACAAAAAUUCACCCACACAGCCGGGUCGAGAAGUUUUGCAUGUGUAGCUGAGGCGGAAGUUUUUUUAAUUUUUUUAAUAUUGUCGAAUAUGUAUAACUUUCUGUUAAAUAAUAUUUAUACUACCAUAUUAUAGGAACUGUAGUCUGGUCAAAAAGUUGGACGCCUUCAACUUUUUGAAAUUACACAUAGGAAUAAAGAUGGAUCUCCCAUGACUCCUGAAGCUGGUGAAAUAAUGGUACGUUUACUUAAUACGAUUUGACUUAUUUUAGUUAUUUUUAGUGUUUAUUUUCUAAUGGUUUAAUUCAUUGCUUGUAAUGCGACUAUUGUUAUGUUGCAUAUGUUUUUUAAUAUAUAAUAUUGCGUUCCUAACUAUGUGAUUUAUUUAUUAGGAAAAACUAAAAGAUAAAAAGGCGGAGUACGAAGCAAUUGCUUCUAGUGAUAGUUCUGUUCAUCUUAAAGACAUUGAUAACUGGAUUAUUACUGAAGUUUUGGGUCCUGAAAGAUAUGGUCGGGUUCGAUUUCAAGGAUCUUUUGUUAGCCCAACCCAAUAUUUUGGAUCCAGCUCCCACCAAUACAUGGCUUCGGGGAGUCAAGCUCAAGCUGAAGUUCAAAGGUUGAAAGACCAGAUGGCUGAGAUGCUAGCAACCACAGUUGAGGUUCAAAGGAAAUAUGAAGAACUCCAACUACAACUUAAAGCAGAGGCGGCAGCGAGGGAAGCAGAGGCCGCAACGAGGGAAGCAAAGCAGACCAAAAAGUACGACGAACUCCAGCAACAGCUUCAGACUGUGAUGAAGAUGUUUCAGUCGCAACUUCCACCUUCAUAGUGUAUGACAUAAAUAUUUUUAUCAUUUUAACAUUUAACAUUUUUGCAAAAAUACUAUGAAUUCACUUUUAUUUAUUGAUAUUAAUAUUAUUUUAUUCGUUUAAUUUGAAAUAUUAUAUAAAUUUAUUGCUUUUGGCUGAUGUAAAUCUGGUUACUUUUGAUUUGUUGCUACAGGAGGGCUGAAAAAAUGAAAAAUUUAAUAUAAAAAAAUCCCAAAAAUAGUGGCGUUUUUGUAUAAAAGCGUCGCUAAAGAACAUGUUCUUUAGCGAGGUUUUAAAAAAAACGCCACUAUUUUUCAUGUUCUUUAGCGACGCUUAAGAAUAAACGCCGCUAAAGAACAUGGUCUUUAGCGGCGUUUUUUUUCUAAGCGCCGCUAACGAACAUAGUCUUUAGCGGCGUUUUUUUCUAAGCGAUGCUAAAGAACAUGGUCUUUAGAGGCGUUUUUUUCAAAGCGCCGCUAAAGAACAUGGUCUUUAAAGGCGUUUUUUUUAAGCGCCGCUAAAGAACAUGGUCUUUAGCGGCGUUUUUUUCUGAGCGCCGCUAAAGAACAUGGUCUUUAGCGGCGUUUUUGUUUGUAAACGCUGCAAACGUUUGCGACGUGUUCGUUAGCGGCCUUUUUUGCGGCGCUUCCAUAAGCGCUGCAAAUACCUUUAGUGGCGUUAAAAAGCGCCGCUAAAGGCCUAAAAAACGCCGCUAAAGACCUGUUUUGGUGUAGUGUGAGUUUAAAAAGUAAAUAUCAUCAACAUAGAUUUGUUUGUUGAAGCUGGAUCAUUAUAGUAGUAAUUGAAUUUUAGACUUAAGAUCAAUCAUACUUAAAUCACACAUGUUUUUGUCAUUAAACCAAUAUUCUCCUCUAUGUAAUAUAAAUUAUUCAUUUAAAUUGGAAGGAUAGAAAAUUGAAUUAAUAAAAAAUUAAAAUGAUGGAAAAUAUAAAUGUGUUUGGUAGGAAAAAUGGAAAACUAAAAAGAAAAAAAUAUUUUUAUUUCCAACCUUCAUUGUUCGGUAGAGUUGCUGUUCAAGAAUUCUUGUUUAGGCAAUUCAUACCAUCCAUACAUAAUGGUUUGAUCUAAGAUUUCAAUUCUUCCAUGUUUCAGCAGUAGCAUAUUAUUUCAUGGAGCUAAGGUCCAAAAUAUGGAAGAAACAGGUGUUUCCACAACUCUACCACCCAGUCAAUUCCAUUCCACUUAAUCCCUAUUUCUUGACCACUUAUCUUUCCGACUAAGUAAUGUGAAACCUUUCUCCUCUUACAUGAAUCCAAUUUUCAUUUCAUCCGGGAAAAGCCAUCUUUUUCUCAACAAUGUCUUUGUCAUUUGAUCCAAUAGCCUUCCGUUAGAUAGGAACAUAUUUGAUAAAUACUGAUAACUCUCGGAUGGAGUAUUGGAAUUGAAAAACCCAUUAGAUAAUAUUGAACUAUUGGUUCUAAGCCACCUCUUGCGUAUUCUUGAUAAACCAGCGUUUAUAUAUGUAGGAGGAUCUAUUUGGGAAGUAAGAAGCCCCUUUGGCAAAAAAAUAAAAAAAAUAAAAAAUUUAAAAAAUAUAUAAUUUAAAAAGAUUGAUUUUUAUGCAUUAAGAUAGAAAAUGAUAAUCUCUAAUAUAUUUUUUUUCUACCAAGUAUAUUUUAAAUUUAUUUCUUUUCACUUUUCGACAGCAGGUGGUGAAAUUCUGAAUUGGGAACCUGUAGUUUAUAGAUUGGAAGUUGGAUGCAUUAAUGGCAUGUUUGAGACAUUGCAAGAAAUUUAAUGUUUUGUUGUUGUGUUGAGUAGAAUCCCAUAUAUUUCUUUUAUUGCUGACAGGUAAUAUUUGGUGUGGGAGGGGUACCAUAUAGUAUCAUCUCCUUCCAAUUCUUAAUAAAUUGUAUAUUUCUCUCUAAUAACUCUAUAAAAAAAAAAGGCAUGGUUGGAUUAAAAUAGUAAUUAAGCUAAGAUUAAGGAGAGAGAGUGAAUUAAACAUAAGAUAUAUAAGAUAUAUAGGGCCAUAAUUGUGCCCAACCUACUCAACUGUCUCUACGACUCUCUCUCUCUUUCCGCUGCAUAAAUGUCGUCUCUUCUUUAAAUAUCUCCUUUUAUUCUCUCCCAAAAGAGGAAAAUUGAAACUACAAGCAAAACCCUCUCAAAUAAUGAUGAACAACACCAAAAGCACCUUCAUCUUGGCUAUUCUUAUGAUGGCAGCAGCUGCAGUAUGUGCAGCCACCGGGCCUGAUUUUUUCGAUCCCUUUUCAUCAUCGUCCGAUCAAAAGCGCAAGACCCACCAGAACCAAGUUGGCGGGGAUGAUGGGUUCUUCGGACCAGACGAUUUUGAUAUUCCAGGGUUUGAAAAAGGGUGGGGAAACGGGAUCAUGGGUGGUGGUUACGGUGGUGGGUUCGGGGGUCCGAGUGGAAGUUUCUCCAAAGGUGGCAUCGUUAGGCCUAGUCUUGUUUGUAAAGAAAAGGGUCCUUGUUACAACAAGAAGCUGACCUGCCCUGCUAAGUGCUUCACCUCAUUUAGCCGUUCAGGGAAAGGGUAUGGCGUGGGUGGCGGUGGUGGUGGGUGCAACAUGGAUUGUAAGGAAAAAUGUAUUGCUUAUUGUUAAGAGGGUGAUAUAAACAUAUUAAGAAUGAGUAGCCCUAGUUGUUAAACCAUGUAUGAUUUUAUAUGAUCAGAUGCAUGGAGUUUAUAGUUAAAAAUCAUAAUAUUUAUGUGGUUGUAGAUUUGGAGAAGGAGUUUUUCUCCUUUACUUCUGGGAUAUAAACUAUGGUGUUAGUUUAAAUAAAUAAAGGAAAUAUAUGAGAGAAUAUGGUUGUAAAUUCUCACUCCUUUUUUUUUUUUAAAAUUUCUGUAAAUAUAUUAAAGGUGGUGUUGAUGUGUCUAUGUAUGAGUUAAAUUACACCGGCGGUACUGAUCUCCUCCAUGAAUGAAGAAGGUUUCAGAAUAGAUUAGUUCAGAAAAUGUUCAUCAUUCUGCUUCCUUCGUUAUAUUAUAAACGUCUAAUAUACUUAAUUUAAUGUAUUUAUUUAUCAUAAUUUAAUUUUUUUUAUUUCAUACAUAUUGCACGUGUGCUUUUGUUAUUAUGCAGGUACACUACACCUAAAGUCAUUAAACUAUGAGUAAAUUUACGUUUUGAUUAUUUAACUUUAAAAGGUUACAAAAUGAUCAUUGAACUACUCAAAAGUUUUCAUUUAAAUCUAUCAGAUUGUUAAAAUUGUUGUUGUAUGGACUUCUCUGUUUGCACUGUCUAUACUAAUCAAAAGCUCUCCUUCCUUGUGUCUUCUAUAGUUUUUUUUUUAUGACACAGAUUUAGACGUCACGAAUCUAUGAAUUAAAAUCCAAAUAACUUUCUUCAUUGAUUUCUAGCACUAAUCGUUAGAUCGGCUUGGAUCUAGGAUGCAUUUUUCUACUUACUGAUGGGUAUUGAUCCACCAUAUCAAUCGUCGAAGCAUCACUUGGAGCUUGCUAGCCAAACUUUAAAAAAAAAUUAACAACCCAAUGACUUAAAUAAAAACUUUCUAAUAGUUCAAUGACUUAAAUGAAAAUUUUUGAAUAAUUCAGCGGUAAGUUUGUAAUUUGUAGAAGUUGAGCUUUUCCUUAUUUUCGAACUUUUAUGUUAUAUAUAUUAUUUUAAAACAUAAAUACAUGAUUUGAAGAGGGGUGAGUUAUUAGGGUUCCAUCGUUUCUUUCUUUGGUGGUUUUACCUGAAAGUAAAUGGGGUUUCUUAUUAGAAGAUAAAAUAGCAGUUUCAGUGGGCAGGGUUAAUGAAAUUAAGGAUGAUUGUAUUGUUAUGUUGAGUUGAAAAAUAGCAUGAAUAAAAAAGUUUAAGAAACCCAAGAAAAUGUAAAUAUAUAUAAUAAUUUGGCACUGAAUUCGUAUUCAAAAACCAGCUGCUUACAGGAUGAAGAAAAACGUUAAUGCUUAGAUUUAGACCAAAGGUGGCCUCAACUUUGAAUUUAGUUGAUAAUCAAAGGAAAAUGAUGGGUGGAAUUUGAAACAUCAAUUCAGUGGGUGGGAGCAAUGGAUUCAUGGUCCCGCCUAGCUUUAACCUUUCAUAUAUUUUGUGUUGUUCAAUUCUCCAAAUUAUGCCCAUUUUAUUUAAUACAAAUAUCCUUAUAUUGCUAACAGAAUUAAGGAGCUUCUUAUAUUAGAAGUUAGAUCACAUUUUAUUUCUGUCUAUUCCAAAAAUGGGUGAAAUAGUCUUUGUAUAUUAAAUCUCAAAGUAAACUAUUUCUACCGUUAAAAAUCGAUUCAUGUACGUCAACAUGCGGUAUACAUGGCACACUACGUGUUACUGUCUUAUUAUUCUAUCAGCCACGCCAAUUUUUAACGAACAAAAAUGAUCCAUUUACUCUUUGAUUUAAUUUAAUGGGACCAAUUUAAUCAUUUUUUUGUAUGAAUGAACAAAAUACAAUUUGACUCCUAAUACAUGGACCUCCAUCAUACUUAAUUAAAAGUAUAAGUAUUACAUUAUUAUAUUACGGAUUGUCCAAGUAAUCACAAAGUAGAAUCAAACAAAUAGAUUAAGAACUAGUAUUGGUUUUAAUUGGAUUGGACUAACACACAUGGCAAUUGCACAUGGUGAAACCCGGAAACUCACUUGUAUAAUUGUACAUGAUGGGUCUCGAAUCUGGACACUCAAAAUUAAUAAUGUUAAUUGUAAAGUUUAAUUCAAGUUUUAGAAUAGAUUCUAUUAAAGUUAAUGGUUAAUAUUAUUAGGUUUGAAAUUUUAUAGUUUUAUUAAUAGAAUAAAUUUAACGUUAAUUGUGAAAUCAAAUUUUAGGAUUGACUUGAUGAAAAUUAUUAGUUAAUUAGGACUUUUCAUCAAAUUAAACUCUAAAAUCUUAUCAUAGACAAAUUAUAUAACUUUUAUAAAAUAUAAGUAUAUAUAUCCUUUUGAUUCCAAAUCAGGGGUUUACACAAAAAUUAAUUUUUUAAUAAUUUAAUUGAUUAAAGACUUGUUUUUGAUUAAGAGUUGAAUUAUAUUUAGAAGGUUAAGCCUUACUCCAGAUUUUGGAAGAGCAGGCUUGAAAUUAAUCCAUUUAUGACCUUUUAUGUUGUUUAAUCUUAAGGAUUCAACAAAUUGAUGUUCUAAAAUCUGACUCAAAUUAUGGUAUAAAAAUUACUUCCAUUCAUUUUUAUAGUAUAAAAAUUAAACUUCCUUAUUAUUAUUUAUAUAAAAAAAGUUACAACUAUUUUAGAUCAAUAUGAUAGAAAAAUUGACUCAAUCCGAAAAUUUACAUAACUACAAUUAUAUUAAUAAAUUCAACAGUUCAAUCAUUAAAAUAUUAAUAGUAUAAAUAGUUACAAAAGUGUGUAAAAUUACUUUAGGUUUUACCUUGUGUAAGUGAUCCCUCUCUAUUUCUCCUUAUUUACUUAUAUUCGUGUAUGAAUACAUCUUUCAAAAUUCAUAAAAGAAAGUUAUAACAUUGUGCAUAGUAGUUAGAGAUUCAAAUGUCAAAUCUAUUUAAAUAGUUUUUUAGAAAUUUAAUUAAUUAAAAAGUGAUUCCUAUAUUUUGUAUGUCAAAUUUUAAGAUAAAAUUAAUUCUAUUUUAUAUUAAUUUAGGGUUAACUAUUAAUAAAUGUAAAAAAAAAUAUUGCCUCUUUUUUCCUAUUUAAUUUUCUCUAUUACUUCAACGAAUCCUUCUCAAGAAUUUUUUUUCCCUAGCUUUAUUUUUUAUAUGCAUAUUUAAUCAUCUAUCUAAUAUACCGUUACAUAUUAUACUAUUUUCUCUCUUUUUUUGUUCUCUCAUUUCAUUUGGGUAUAUAAUUGAAAAUUAUAAUUUUAUUGUAUUCUCUUGAUUUUUUUUUUUGAAAAUAUCAUCUUGAACCAAAAAACAAUUCUUUUAUGAGAAUUAGAUAAUAGGUUAGGUUUAAUUCAUUACAAAAUUGAGAGUUUUUGGAACAUUUUCAUUCUUUUUGAAAUUUAACCAUCCUCAAUCUUUGAAGAAAGAACAAUAAAGAAUAUUCAAAAGAGGGUAACCAACUACAAAUUUGAUUUAGCAUUUGUAUUUAUGUGAAAUACUUAAUAUUUUUCAUAAAAUAUGAGCAGAAUUGUGGGUUACACUUGCCUAUGGUUUUGUAUUCCUGUGAUUUAAUUAUUUAUAGUUUUGCUCAGAGUAAUACUUGAAAUCAACUUUUUAUUUUACAUAUAUUCAUAUGGCUUAGCCUUUAGCUAAAAUAAAAUGUGAUUUCAAGUAGUUUUUCUAAUUUAUUUCAAAACAAAUUUCAUAUAUACUUAAUUUUAUGAGCAAGUUUGAAACAAUUUUACUUUCAAUUAAAUUUAUAAAUUAAAAAAUAAUUCAAAAAGUAUCAAUUAAACUUUAUUAUUAAAUAUUUAAUCCAAAGUAGUUAGUGAAUUAAACGUGAUAAUGUAAUUUUCUUAUGAUUUUAAUCAAUACCUUUACAUGUAUACCAAAUGUUGUAAAAUAACAUUUUCAACGACCACAUUUCCCGCAAUCACAUUCUAAGGAAAUAAUCACAUUUCAUUGGAAUUAUAAUAUAAAGCACCAAACGCUACCUAAGUGUAUUGAAAAGGAAAUGUCUCUACCCUUGAAACUGAGAUGUUCUUAACCAGACAUUACACAAUGAACCAAUCGCAAAGUGAGACAUCCUAUACAUGAAAAUCAUUCAAUGUCUUUGUAUAAGGUGUUUGCUAAUCAAACUCCACACCCAAAAAUAUACAUAUAAAGGAAAACAUUCACAGGAAAUCACAGAGAUCCAUAAAACAAAUGCGCCAGGAACGAGAAAUAACAAGCUCUGUCUGUUCCUUCCUGGGUAAUGUGCAUACAAGGAGAAUCAACACAUGAGGUUACCCUAUUUCUGGUUGCAGCUAGUGUCUGUGCCUUUAGAUGGCAGCCCUCAUAGCUCCUCUGGCAGCCUCGCGCUUCAUCUCAGCAGCUUUACCACUGCCGCGGAAAUACAUGUAUACUUGCUGCAAAAGCCAAUAGCCAACCAUGUUAGAAAUGCCACAGGCGGGGCAUGCUUAUGCGAUCAUUGAUAUGAAUUAGGUUGGAAACUGAACGAACCUGGAUAACCCAAAUGCUUACUAUUGAUUCAACACAAAAUAAUCCAAACCCAAUGAAGUAGAAGAUCUACACAAGCAAAGUAAACUUUCAUCAAAAUGGUCAAGAGAAGCCAAGAACAAAACUUUUGUCAACUAUUUCAGUUAGCAUCAACAGGAAUGUUCAAGCCUUAAGCAGUAGAUGCUCCACUGUUUUAAUGGUGAAAUCAUGAAACCUGAUUGUGGGUAUUAAACUUUUGACAGGUUUAAGGAUAUACUUACCCCAACCAACGCAUUGUCACUGAUAAGAUCUACUGCAGGUAGGAUUCCACUGUACGAGACAAAACAACAUUGGUAAGAUAAAGUUAAACUAGAAUACCAAUUUCACAUCUCAAAUACUUGCAGUACAUUUGCAAAUGUACUUUUUGGGAGACAAGUGCACCAUGUCAAACCCAAAUGCAUUGAUGUUGUUUAUCAGUCCAAGAUAAAAUUGAGAAUGUGAAAGAUAAGUUAAAAAAUAGUUUAGGAACAUACGUUAGUGAUUUCCCUCUAAAAACUAUAGGAGGAGCCACAGCAGCGAAGAUGCAAAAUCCGAUGUGAAGCUAUAAACAGGGAAAACAAAAAGGAUCAAAAGAAUCAGUAUCUACCGACUCCAUGGCAACAAAGAAACAUAUCUACCAGAGAAACAUGAGUUAGUACCAAAUCAAAUAGGAAGAACCGUCCAAAUGAUAAAGCAGUUUCUUUCCUGCAUUAUAGUCGGAGGGUGAGAAAAUAUUUCAAUUAAAAUAAGGGAUGAUUAGAGAUUAGCAAGUGCAGCGAAUGUGAACAGCCAAAUUUAAGGAAAUGACAACAAAAGUUUGCAUUAGAGGCAACCCGAAAACUGAAUUGCAAUAUUCAGGAAAAGUUAUGUUAAGUACCUAAAAGCACGAUACAGCGGCCGAUACCACAAAAUAUACGCUCCUGGAACCCCUGCUAUGAAGUAGAUGAUAGCCAAGAACCAGAUCCUCACACCUAAACAAAAACAAAUACAGUCAAACACAACACAAUCUAACGUUAUAUAUUCAAAGGAAAACAUGAAAUAUGGAAAUGCAUUUCUAAACUAACCUUCUCCUUUGAUCCAUGCUGUAGUAACAGCUACAAUGUUCCACAGCAGGCACAGAAACAACCCUGCAUAGAAUCAAAAUACAUUACCAACUGUCUGUAACCCAUGGCUUACACAAAAGCCAUUUCCAGCUAAAGAGUUUUUAAAAAGAAAAAAAACAUGGUACAAAUAAUCACCCAAUGCAAAAACUCAUUGAGUACAGCACAAAUUUUCUUUUUGGACAAAAACGAUGACAUAUGCAUAGGUGCACCACGCAUAAGAACAUAAGGUGAAAAAGCCUAAGAAACCCUUACCUAAAAACGUUGAAAAUGCAACAUACUGCAAUCUUUGUAGAUGAACUGGUAUGUCAUUUGCAAUAUCAUGAUGAAUGAUUGGAAAAAAUGGGGGCCAAUUUUUCUCUUCCAAAGUAAUUCCAGCUGCAAAACAGAGAAGUCAAACUCUAGCUCACGGAAGAAAUGUAACAGCAACUGACCAUAAAGGGAAAUAGAAUCAGGUCAAAAUAUUUUUGCAAAAGAAAUGUAGUCUGGAACAGAUUUUGAAACUAUGAACAAACUCAAUGUUUUCUAUGUGAAUAGUCAAAUUAUAAAAAAGUAAUGAAAGGUACCUCUUGCUGCUGCCUCUUCUUUCCGUCUCACUUCCUGCAUCGAAUAAGCUUAUCAGUAAAAAUUGUGGGAUAAAAUCAUUUAUAAUGUGUCGGCGGGAAACAAAAAUAAAUCUAUGAUUCUGCAGAUUAAGAAUGAAUAAGUUAUAAAAUUUCUUCCACAAUAUACCUGCUCCCGCCUUCUCAGUUCAGCCUCCUUAGCCUGAAGUUCCUUCUCCUUCUUCUUCAAAUCCUAGAUUUAAACAGAAAAACCAGAACAGGGAGAUCAAAUGCUUAACUAAACUAUUGGAAAAGGCAUUUAGAGACUUCUCUUCACUCUUCACUAACCUGAUAACGUGAUCCUCCUGAAGCUGUAUCAAGAGGAAUGUCAAUUGUUGCCUCAUGACCAUAAUUGAAACCAGCAGGUUCAGGAGGUAGUGGUGAAAGUCUUGAGUUUGAUGCAAGUGGAGCACUUGGAACAUUCUGAAAAUUUAUUGAUAAUAGACGUUCAAGAAGCAAGUAUUAUUAAAAAGCAAAAGGUCCAGUUUACUGAUGUUUAGAAGCAUUACUAAAAGGUCAAAUUAGACAUGACGGGAUCAUAACAAUAUAGCCGCAAGCAACCUAUUUUUUCUGAACUUCGAUAUAUGCAAGCUAGCUCAAACUAUCAGCAUCAGAAAAAGAAGCAAGUUUCUAGGUUAAUCACUAAGAUUUUACUAUAGAAUUCCUAGCAAAUUAGCAAAAGAUAUGGAAUUUCAGUGUUCUCAAGGGAUUAAAUAGUGGUAGUGUAGCACAACAUCAUCACCUCAAGUUAUGGUUUUACAUAGCAUAAGUUACCUAGCAUCCAUGUACAUAAACAAGCAAAGCCAAAGCUAAAUUUCACAUCUCACAUCCAUUCUAAUCGGAAAUAUGUCCUAAGGCAGUAGCCAUUUUAACAUCAACACUAAGUUCUGAAUUAAAUAUUCCCUUGAAACUUUAUAAACAGGGAUUUAGUUACCUUUGAAAAUAGACCUCCACCAAAUUUAGACUGGCCAGAUGCCUUCCCUCUCACAGCUGGAUCCUGGUAGAAAUUAUUCAAAAGAAAAAAAUCAUAUUAAAACUGAUGUUGGCUAGCAUACGUAAACUAACUUACAAUUGACAGAUAAUACACCCAGCAAGGCAUCAUAGUCUUCAUCUCUAGGAUUAUAUGAGUUUGCUACUUCGUUAAAUGCAUGUUCGGUGACAAGAAAACAUGAAGUCAAUGAAAGGAUCACACAGCAACCAAGUAAAACACUUCCCAUAACCGAUUUCAACCAAAAAUUUCAGAUCAAACUGAAACCCAACAAAGCAAUCAGGGAGUUAAAAACAAGUCAACCUAUAAUCUGCUAAUAAACAGAGCUGGCUAUGGCUACCAUAAACUGAACUUCAUGAACUCAACCCAAAACAUCAUCAAAUAACAGAAACAAAGAAAGAGAGAGAAAAGAGAAACUGACCGAGAAAGGAUUAACUUCUUCUUCUCCUUCUUCAGCGAACGGGUUUUCAUCGAAACGACCAGCCAUCACCUUUUUAAGUGUUGUUUUUUUUUUUCUUUUUAUCGAUAUAAACCUUAUAACAAUAAAAACUGAAAAUGGGAGAAUAAUACAAGGAAGAUGAAAACUAGAGAGGAGAAAAAGAAGAAGAAGCUUGGAGGAGAAGAGAAUUGAAAAACUGGGAGGUCAAAGGAAAUUUGGGGUUAUGAAUAAAGUUCUAGAGAGAGAAAACGUGGUUUCCCUGGGGAAGAAGAGGUAGAGAUAGAGAGGGGGGGACUUUUCGGUUAACAGUCAGUUUUGUUGAAUAUAAUAUAUUGUGACGAAACAGCGGGAAAAUACAUUAUUCUCUAUUCUCCCUUUUGUCCCUUUGUUUUGAUAGUGUAGAUAACAUAAUUUUUCUUUUUCAUACAUGUGCAUGAUGGGAAAGAUGAAAAUAUAGAAAGAAAAUUACUUCUAUUCUCUCAUCAUUUCCAUUUGAAAGGAUUUACUUUUUUUAUUUUUUAUUUAUUUUCCAUUCAUUCUUCUCAUCUAAUACACCAUUAGCCUUGUAAGUAUGGAAAUCAGGUUUGAGAGCAUAUGGAAAUAUUUUGGUUUUUGACAAAAAGAAUUAUGAGUUAUUAGAAUAAUUUUUAAAUUUUUUAAUAUGUUUUUGGUGUUUUUUUUAAAUUAUUAAACUCUAUUAAAUGGAUUUCUUAAGAUGAAUUUAAGUUUGAUAUAUUUCAAAAUAAGGUUUCAACUUUUUGAAGGUAAGAAUUGAAGUUCAACUUUAAGAUGAUAUUAUUAACUAAACCAUAAAUAAAAUGAUAAAAUCAAUAUUUACUAUUAUUUAAGUAUUUUAUUAAGUUGUCGGCUGAGUCUUAUUGUUGUUAAUACAAGAGGAGGACCUGGGUUCAAAUGCGCUGAAACACAUUAUUCUCCUAUUUAUGGGUUGGGGAUGGGUUAUGGGUAGUUCCAGACAUUAUAUUAAAAAAAAACAACCAAUAUUUUAUUAAGUUGGUGUUACACUUGAUUGGGUCAUCAACUCAAUUAUAAAAUUAUAGAAAUAUUCAUGUUUUUAGAUUAUAAUUAAUAUUAUUAUGAUAACAUUUUUAUCUUUUCAUACAUUUAUAUUAUUUUUAAAUAAAAAAAUAUAAAUUUACUACCACUUUACUUUUAUUCAAAUAAAUUUUAAAAAAAUAACAUAAAAUUUUGUAAAUGAAGAAAAUCUAGUUUAAUAUAAAAGAUUGAGUCCACACUAAUUUUAAAUUUGAUUCUUAAACGAAAAGGAAACAUUUGAAGGAGUGGAUUUGACAAAAAUCUGCCAACCCCACCCAAAGUCACUUUCAUCUCUAACGACCACCCAUAAAAUAUUUCAAUAAAGAAUUAUGUAUGAAUUCAAAAUUAUUUAUUAUUUGCACUAAUAUUUAGAAUAAAAUUAAAUAAGAUUUAAAACUCAUAUUCAUAUAUUACUAUUCUUUAAAUUAAUCUAUUUAUAUUUUUAAUUAAAAGGAUGAAACACCUACCUCAUUUUUAGUUUUUUUUUAAAGUAAAUAUAAAUUUAGUAUAAUUUUUAAUUUUAUCUAAGUCGUCAACUUAGUUAUAAAAUUACAAAAAUACUCAUUGUUUAGUAAUGCAAUACAAUUAAAAAAUUUUGACUAUCAAAAUAAUCUUAAAAAAACAUAAAAAAAUAAUUUUUUGGGGGUUUUUUUACAUGAAUAAUACAAAAAAAAUUAAUUAUGGAAAUGAGACAUGUUGUAGAUUAUUUAGCUAAAUUAACAAUAUUUGUCAUUUUUUUUAUUUGGCCUUUUAGGCCUUUUUUUUUUAAAUUUAGGGAAAUAGGUCGUUUUUGGAGAGAGAAAGGGAAGUCGCGUCCAACUGAGCGCGUUUUCAUCCUCUCUCCUAGGGUUAGAGUGUAACAUCCAUAACCUGUUUCUAUCGCUAGAGUAGAGUUACGGAGUAUUACUGUGCAUCUCAGAACUUUUCAUAUAAUUGGCAUCUAAUUAUAAAAUAAAUUUCAUAAAUACAUAUAUGAUUCAUAAUGAAAUAGAACAUACAUUUAUGACCUUAAAUCGAGCCUUCGAAGCCCUAAAAAUAGGUUAGGAACAUUCAGGGACCAAAUCAGAACAAAUUAGAACAUUCAGGGAAAAAUUAAAAAUUUUCACUACAAGGCUUACACGGCCGUGUGUCUAGCCUACACACUCGUGUGCUCAAUAGUGUGCUCACCUGUGUAACUCACUGACUUGGGCGACACACUUGUGUCUUAGCUCAUGUGCCAGCUCAUAUGAACCAUGCACCUAACACGCUUAAAGCACAUGCCCGUGUGGGCUACCCGUGUGCGACACACAAUCGUAUAACAGUCCAUGUCCCAAGCUGUGUGUGUGUAAAAGUGACCAAACCCAAACCUAUUCUUCAUGCAAUUGUAUAGGUAUAUAUACCAACUCAUUUUACAUAUUUACAAGUCUAUAAACACACUUUAAAUGAACCAAAACAUGCUAUUUCCAUUCAUUUAAAACCAACAAAAGUAUCAUGUACCAAACACAUUAUAAUGCUCAUGCUACUCAUUAUCAAACAACUAUCUAUAAACUAUAAUAUACACCAACUAACACAUUCUAAACACAUCAUUCCAACCUAAUAUGACACUUACCAUCUUAACCUCCUACUUAAGUUUACUUAAGGUUAAUAAUCAUACCACAAAGACUACCAUUCAUUCAUCAAGUACAAAACAUCAUACAUAGCCAAGAAUUAUAGCAUAAUAACCAUUUUCCCUACUACAUGCCAUAUAAGCCAAAUGUUUACAAAAUCUACCAAAAGAGUCUUCGGGAUAGUGUGAUUCUACGAAUUGAUCCGAUCUCCUGAUCACAAAAUGUAACCUACAAAACAAGGACAAAGCACAAGUAAGCUUACUUGAAGCUUAGUAAGUUCAUUAAAUCAAAUGAUACAUAUUACCAAAUUUAACAUAACAAAUCAAAUUAUAAAAUUAAAUAACAAAGUUCCUGUCAAUCAUAGCUCACAGCAGGUGAGUAUUGUAUAGUAUAUUAAUUCAAAUCAUAUUUUAAAGUCAUAAUUUAGUAAGAUCUCAUUUCAGGUAAUUUCAGGGUAUCACUCAUUCGAGUUAACUUAAAAAUUUUGAUCGACUCACGAUGCUGCUCACACAAGCUGCAGAGAAUCUGCAACACAUGCAGAUCUCAAGCUAUCGCUACAGUCUGUACCACCGGUACAUAGUACCUUCUAAAUAUUCACCGGCUCAAGGCUUGACAGACAACACUGACUCAAGGCCUGAUAGAUAACAUCGACUCGAGGUUUGCUAUUCAGAAACAUCACGUGUUAACUUAUUCAUUUAUUAUUUAUUCUCAAAUCAUUCAAUAGUUAAGUUUAACACUGGAUCUAAUUAUAAUAAACAUGUAAUAUAUAUGGAAUCAUCGCAACAUAAAAGAAAUAUUACGAACUUACUUAAAUAAACUGUAGCACGGUAAGGUACAAGGACUAUUUUGUAACUUCUUUAUGCCUCGAUUUUCAACCCAUACUUGAUCUAGAAUAAAAAUUUCAUUCAAUCAAAUAAUUCCAAUAGUAAAAUUAACUCAUUUUAUGUAAUUAAGUCCAUUUUGACAUUUUUACAA
rnacentral:lncRNA from 1 species